rnacentral:lncRNA from 1 species
AACUUAUACGAAGCUUCACAUGUAAGGACUCAUGGAGAAGAUAUUUUAGAAGAGGCACUUGUUUUCUCCACUGCUCAUCUUGAGUCUGCAGCUCCACAUUUGGAGUCACCUCUGAGUAAGCAAGUGACUCAUGCCCUUGAGCAGUCUCUCCAUAAGAGCAUUCCAAGAGUCGAGACGCGCUACUUCAUCUCCAUCUACGAAGAGGAGGAAUUUAAGAAUGAUGUGUUGCUUUGAUUUGCCAAAUUGGAUUACAACUUACUCCAGAUGUUGCACAAACACGAACUUAGUGAAGUAUCAAGGUAUACAGAUGUGUUAAGUUGAAUUAAAAAUACUAGUAUAAAUUAUUUGUUGAUAGUAAUUUCUAAGAUUGGUACUUAUUUUGUAGGUGGUGGAAAGAUUUGGAUUUUGUGACAACGCUUCCAUAUGCUAGGGAUAGAGCAGUGGAAUGUUACUUUUGGACGAUGGGAGUGUAUGCUGAACCUCAAUACUCUCAGGCUCGUGUCAUCCUUGCAAAGACUAUAGCAAUGAUUUCGAUAGUAGAUGACACAUUCGAUGCUUAUGGAAUAGUAAAAGAACUUGAGGUCUACACCGAUGCCAUACAAAGGUAUGGACUUGCCUCUCCAACAGUUCAUGGAUUUAUUAGACGGGAAACUUACUAAAUCUCUUUCUGUUUUAUUAGGUGGGAUAUUAGUCAAAUUGAUCGACUCCCAGAAUACAUGAAAGUUAGUUUUAAGGCUCUUUUGGAUCUCUAUGAAGAUUAUGAAAAGGAGUUGUCAAAGGAUGGCAGAUCCGAUGUUGUCCACUACGCAAAAGAAAGAGUAGGACUCACUGAUUUCUAUUUAAAAACACUUGUAUUUACCUUAUACUAUUUCUUUAUUAUACAAUUAGAUCUGUUAUGGGAGUAUUGAUGGUUGAAUGUCUUGUGGUUUCUGUUAAACAGAUGAAGGAGAUUGUGAGAAACUAUUUUGUAGAAGCAAAGUGGUUCAUUGAGGGAUAUAUGCCGCCUGUUUCUGAGUAUCUUAGCAAUGCAUUAGCUACCAGCACAUAUUACUUGCUAACUACAACAUCCUAUUUGGGAGUGAAGUCAGCAACAAAGGAAGAUUUUGAAUGGUUGGCUACGAACCCUAAAAUUCUUGAAGCCAAUGUGACAUUAUGCCGAGUUGUUGAUGACAUAGCAACGUAUGAGGUAAUUAGCAUCGCAUUACACUACAUAAAUCAUCUUAUAAUUUAGAGUUACAGUAAUUUAAUACAAAUUGAUUUCACAUACUUAUAAAUGAAUUAUAAUUGCCAUUCCAGGUUGAGAAGGGUAGGGGCCAAAUCGCAACAGGAAUUGAGUGUUAUAUGAGGGAUUAUGACGUAUCAACAGAAGUAGCAAUGGAAAAAUUCCAAGAGAUGGCUGAGAUAGCAUGGAAGGAUGUAAAUGAAGGAAUUCUUCGACCAACACCUGUCUCUACAGAAAUUCUUACUCGCAUUCUCAAUCUUGCUCGUAUUAUAGAUGUCACUUACAAGCACAAUCAAGAUGGAUACACUCAUCCCGAAAAAGUUCUAAAACCUCACAUCAUUGCUUUACUGGUGGACUCCAUUGAGAUCUAAACCAUUGAGUUUUUUUUUCCUUUUAGUUCCAUCUAUAUAAGUUUCCUGUAAUACUACUGUACUUAAUUAAAACGUUUUUGUACCAUUAAUUUUUUAUAUCUUAAUAAUACUUCUUUUGUACCUAGCUCGAUCUUCUUUUUAUUUGCUAAAAUAAAUUGUAAGAUUUUAAGCAAAGAAACUGCCAUAUUGAUCAUCUAACAAUAAGGAGAAAGAGUGAAAAAAACAUAAGCUUUAUCUAAGCAAGUGACACUAGUACUAAAUUCUAAUAACAUACUACUCAUGAGGUUAAUAGUACUUUUAGGGUGUGUUUGGUAUGAAGGAAAAUGUUUUCCUGGAAAACAAGUAGGCUUUUGACUUAUUUUUUCAUGUUUGAUUGGUAAGUAGAAAAUAUUUUUUAGUGUUUGAUUUAUGAAUGAAAAUUAUUUUUGAGAAAAUAUCUCUUUUUUACUAGAGAGUAGAAAAUAAUUUUUGAAUUGAAAUUGAAAAUAUUUUAAAAAAAUAAACUUAAUUUUUUUUGGGUGGGAGGCAGUGGCGGACCCAGGAUUUUCACGAAAUGGGUUCAAGAUAUAAAAAUAUACCUAAUAUUAUUUGUAAUUUUUAUAGGCUAACAGCAUACAUAUCUGACUAUACUAAACAAUGUUAAUACAUUUGAAAAAAAUUUACAUUGACUUAGGAAUGAGACGGUAAAUAACAAGAUGGACGAAAAACUAGGCUUCAAUAUAAACUAAGAAGAUAAAAGAAUAUUAUGAAUGAUUUCUCUUCAUUCAACAUUUAGCAAAUAAAAACAAAAUGUUAAACAAAAUAAUUAUAACCUUAAUUUCAGAAUCGAAUACAUAGAAAUAUACCUAAUAUUAUUUGUAAUUUUUUGUUGAUUUUAGAAUGAUAAGGGAUUUUUUAGUUGAAGAAAUAAAAAAUAACCACAAUAAUCAUAUAUGUAUAUAUAAAGACUAGAAUCAAGAGCGAAAAACAUACUUGAUGGAUAUUGACUAUUGAUGUGAGAUUUGAGAGACGGGGAGAGUUUUUUUUCCUUCAAUAAAAAAAUAUGGUCAAAAUUUUGGGGAGGAAAGUAAGAGAGGUUCAAGAAGAUUUCAACAAAGAAGAAGACAAAAGAGUUUUUAGAAUUGAGAAUAAUAGGGAUUAGUGUCCUUUUUCGUGUUUAAGUUUUUUUUUUAAAAAAAAUUAAAACAAAAGGACAAAAGUUGUUGACUAUUGGACUUUUAAUUGUAAAAGUAAAAAGUUAGUUCUACUUUUUAUAGUUUCUAAGUAACUAAAAGGACAAAAGUAACACCUACAUAGAGGAAAAAAAUUGUGUGUGAACGUUUUAUAUAUAAAAAAAACGAAUUAAAACUAAAAAUGUGGCAAUGGGGAUUCGAUCCCGGGUUGGAUGGGAACAUUGAACCUCCCUCAACCACUCAGCUAAGCUUCAAACUUGUGUUAGUGGGUUCAAAAUUUAAUAUAUACAUAUAAAAUUUUAAAAACUGAUUAAAUAUACAUAUAUAUACAGUGUUAUUUUUCAAUGAAGUGGGUUCAUAUGAACCAACUUGAACCACUGUAGGUCCGCCCCUGGUCAUAUAGGCCCAUGUUGGACAUCCAAUUGCUUCGAUUUGAAUUAUCUAGAACGCAAGUUGAAUCACAACGAAUAUUAUGAUCAAACAUGAUUUUCAGAAUUAUUAUUCGAGAAAAAGUAAAAUAUAUUCAUAGUUAAACGACCAAUAGUAUGAUUUGUUUUCAAUAAUCAAAUUAUCACUUAUUAAUUGUUUUAUUUUUUGUAUUGCGGUAAAAAAAUAAAAAAAUUGAAGUUGAAAAAUGUUUUUUUAAAAUAAGCUUUAAAUUUAUUUGUUCAACAAAAAAAUUUGAUUUUUUCAACAAAAAAAUUGUAAUAUGAAGUUGGAGGAAAGUUUUAGAAAAUGUUUUCCUUAAGUUUUGAAGGGAAGUCAUUUUUCUUGAAUUUGAGGAAAAUGAGUUGAUUUGGAAAAUAUUUUCCUAAACAUUUUACCCAACCAAACAUGAAAAAAAUUGGAAAACAUUUUCCGGAAAAUGUUUUCCUUCAUACCAAACACACCCUUAGUCCUUUUGUUAUUCAUAAAUUUAAUGUUAAUUUUUAUGAUAUCUAACUAAACACAUUAAAUCUUUAGUUAAUUAAAAUAUGCAUAUUUUAAUUCUUUUGCUCGUAAAUAUUUACCAAUUUUCUAUGAUUAUUAACUGUUCCAUUAUCUAAUUAUUUUUGAUUUGUUGUGUUGUGUUAAGUUUAUAGUAUUUCCUCAUAUUUGAUGGUAAAUAUAACUCUAAAAAUAAUCUGAAUAUAAUAUAUUUUAUGCAAAGAAACAAAAGUAGAAUAAAAUUAAAUAUGUUAGGUAGGGCUGUUCAAAAUGGAAUCGAAAUCGAUAACUCAAAUCGAAAAAAAGUUAUUAAUUUAUUGAUAAUAGGUUAUUUGUUUAACGAUUUUGGUAUUGGUUUUUGAUUUUUUUAUCAUCGGGUUAUUGAUUCUUAACGAAAUUGAAGUUUUUUCUUAAUGGGUUAAUUGAUAACUAGAUAAUAAAUUAAUAAAUUAUAUUAAUACCAUUUUGGUAUAUAAAGUCCUUUGACUUAGGAUUUAGUUUCAUAUUUUCAAUUCUUUUUUUGGUAACCAAUGUAAACUAUUACCAUACCAUCCAAAAACAAUUACAAAUAAAGAGUACCCUCUCCUGAUAACAGGUUGAGGUCUCCAACCAAACAAGGAAACUAAUUACAAAAUAAAUGCUGAAUGAAACCUCUACAUCUUUGAGCUUUCUUUGAAUUACUCAAGAAUUGUAUUCUUUCUGUUAUCUCCUUCUUAAUCUGUAUGACUACAUCUUUUGUAUUUACAUUCUUUCCUUUGUACUUCUUCCAAUUUCUAACACGCCAAGUGUGAUAUAGGACUGCUCCACUAAUUGCCGCAAUAAUCUCCUUUUUAAACUGCUUCCAAUGUUUCUCCUUUAUUCCAUCCAGAAACUGUGUGAUCCCAUUGUUUAUCAAAUAUAUACCUGUCCACCAAACUAUCUCUUGCCAUACCAUCUUAGACCAUUUACAUUCUUCAAACAAAUGCCUUGUGGUCUCCAUAACUUUCUCUUCACAUAGACAACAUUCAGUGUCAUCAACCUGAAUGUGCAGUCUCAACUUUCUCUCUUGUGUAAGCAAUCGACCUUGUAUAGCUAGCCACACCAUGAAUCUGUGUUUUGGUAGAGCCACAGCAGUCCACACUAAAUCAGCAGUUUCCAAUUGUUGUCUUUGCCCUUUAAUUGCCAAAUAACUCCGUGUGAUGGAAUAUGUACCAUUUUUUGUCAACAUGUAUUUUCAAUUCUGACAGUCUCAAACUUUCAGUUAUUCUACAAUGUGUUAGUGUUGUUUUUUAGCAAGAUACAAUUUAUCAACUCAUGUGCAUCGUUUAUUUGAUUUGUCACCAUGUUCUAAGAGAUUUUCAAUAAUUUAUUUUCGUGUCAAAUCAUAACGAUUAAACCAAUAACAAAACCGGUAACGAUCAAUAACCGAUAAACCGAUAAGCCAAUAUAUUAAUGGUUCUUAACGGUUUAGCACAUCUACAAAUUGAUAACCGAUUAGUUGAACCGAUAAACUUCAAAACCGAACCGAAUCAACCAAUGCAACACAUAUAUCACAAAAAUCAAAAUCAAAAUCAAAAUUUAUUGAUAUAUAAAUGAUGAACCAAAAGUAUUUACAAACCGUUCUGAAAAUAAUGUGAAACUCCAAAAAUACUAACUAAAAUAACUGCUUUAAACUCCAAAAAUUGAAUGUCUCAACUCUCAAGUGGAUCAAGUUAUCUUUUUUACUCAAAAAUAGAAUUGCACUAUUUAAUGUGUAAAAUUGCUGACAUUUCACUUAGUGAUAAAAAAUUAAAAACGUUAGAUGAUGAAAAAUUGAAAAACUUUAUCAAGCCAAAAACAUAAUCGAUUUGUACUAUUCACAAUGUAAAAAAUAGGUUUUGACAUUUUUUUAAGAAAAAAAUUGAGAUUUUUAAGGGUGAAUUUGAUGAAAAGAAUAUUACAUUAACCUUGAAUAUUUCUUAAAACAUUAUGUAAGUCUUUAUGAAUGAUAGUGAUACGUACAAGAUGGCUCAAACACUAUCAUUAUAAAUUAGAUUUGAAUUAAAAAAAAUACAAAUAUUAUUAUAUAAAUUAAAGCUUAAUUUAUUUUAGUUUAUAAAAUACUUUUUAUUUUUUAUUUUUUGAAAAAGACUUAACACAUUUUUCUAUUUGGAGAUUCUUUAUUUUUAACGUUCAUUUAUCCUUAAUGACAUCAAUGUAAGAUUUGUGGAAAACAUUUUAGUCUCAUAAAAAAUUGAUUCUAUAUCCAAUAUAGACUUUUUAUUUAAUUGUAGCACAAACAUGAUUUAAAUUCCUAAAAGAAUGAAAUAAAGAAAUAGUGACAAAUUUUUUUGUUACAGAUUCUCAGUUACAUCACAUUUUAAAAAAAAUGUCAUAAUUGGGGAUAUUUCUAGUUUUAAAGUGGUUUUAUUUCAGGUUAAUGUCUUCAAUUAUCUAUCAUUACUGUUGAAUGAUAUGUGUCAAAUCUCUUUUUAGCAAUCCAAUUGAAGUAUUUCUCUUCUCAUUUGUAUCCCAAUUUUGUUCCAAUGAUAGUUUUUGUUUAUUGUCAGUCAAUUUAAGAACAAAUACUCGAUCAUUAUAUUAUUUCCCGCAUAUUUUUAUCUUCCUUUCUCUCUCCAACUCUUUUCUUUUCAUUUUCUCGAUCGCCAUUUUUCAUAUCAUCAAAUAACUUUUUUUUCUGUGAACUUAUUGUUUUUAUCCAUGUUCUUUUCUAUUAUGGAAAGAUUAUCAAUCUAAGUACAUGGUAUUAGUCGAAAAAUUCACUUCUCUUUAGUCAUUAUUACCUUUUAAAAAAAAACUAUUUCAUUAGAUAAGGUAUGCAUAAGGCUAAUUUUUAUUAGUAAAGAAAAAAAAAAUUAAAGGACCUCAAAGGAAAAAUACAAGUAAGGGAGAAAAGUACAAAUAAGGGGUAUCAGAACAGUUUCGGAUAAAUUAUAAUUUCUUGUUAUGUCCCUUUGGAUAAACUAUUUUUGAUUCGCUUAAUACCAAUAAAAAUGAAGAUAUAGAUAUUUAUAAUUAUAAUUAUUUUGGAGAUAACUUGAAUCUCUUAUAUUCAAACCGCUUCAUAAUUAUAUUGAUUUGUUGUUCUUCAUGUCUACUAUGAAACUCUGCAUCACUAAUUCUCCAUCUUCGUCGUUUAAAGCAUGAAGCAACUUCCAAAUUUUUGAAUUGGAUCUUGAAUUUUUUGUUUUAGAAACUAUUACUCUUUUAUUAGGAGUAUAAUUAAUGAUGUAGUUUUGAUACUUAUAAAUGAUAAAUAAAAAAGAACGGAGAAAUUUUGAUAUAUUUUUUGUUCAUAAUUAGAAUAUGCGAUAAACAAAACUAUAUACAUUUGAGAAAUUCUCUAUUCUUCAAAAAAAAAAUUGUCAAUUCUCAAUCUGUCCAAAUCGAGAAAAUAAAAGCACAUUAUGAAAAAAAAAGUGUGCAUAAAAAUUUGCAUUUAGUCUAUUCUACUGAAUUAGUUACAUUUCAAUUUGUAUAAAUUCAACAUUAACUUAAUAAAAUAGGAUGGCAUAGAAACUCAACUUUGAACCGGAAAAACAAGUGCACAAAAGUAAUUUAUGUUUAAGCCAUCAAUCUAUGAACUUUACAAAUAAUAUGUGUUUAAUUCAAUAAAUUAAAUUAAAUAUUGCAUAUCGCCCUUUAUUUUUCUUUUGGGACAUGAUUUUCAAUUCAAAGUUGCUACAUUCUGCACUCAAGGAAAAUCCAAUAUUAUUAUAUUUUGGGUGCCAUCGAAAUAGACCACAAAUCAACAUUCCAAAUGCAUGGUGCAAUUGUGACAAAAAAGACUAAAAGACAAAAUAAUGCAAUGUCUCAUACUAGUUUAGUAAUAUUUUAUAUUGCAAGUCGUUUUCUGAAUUGACACUAGAAACCCUUAGACUUACAGACAGACGCCAAAAAAGGAAAACAAAAUUAAAAAUGGAAUGGAUUAAACUUUUAUACACUAACCAGUACAAUAGUCAAGUGCGGCAACCAGACGGCAAUAAGUAUUUAAACGUGAAGGAUUGAUGGCUGAGACAAAAGACUCUCACCAUACAUUAUAAAUACUCAUUUCCUUCACUUCCAUUUCCAUCAUCACUUGUUCAAUUUCUCUAAGCACAAAAUUAACACUUCUUUUUCACAAGCUAACUGUAGAAGAAAUGGCCCUAGCUGCUGCAGUGAUGAGUAACUACGGAGAGGAGGAGAUUGUUCGCCCUGUUGCUGACUUCUCUCCAAGUCUUUGGGGUGAUCGUUUCCAUUAUUUCUCCCUCGAUAAUCAGGUAUAUUUAAUUGAUUUGUCUGUUUAAAGCACAUUGUUUAAUAAAAUGUAUUACUUAUUAUAUAAAUUUUCAUUUGGAUAAAUUAAUUUAUAGGUUGAAAAAGAGUAUGCUCAAGAGAUUGAAACAUUGAAAGAGCAAACAAGGAGUAUGUUGUUAGCUGCGAGUGGAAUGACAUUGGCUGAGAAGUUGAAUCUGAUAGACAUUGUUGAGCGCCUUGGCUUAGCUUACCAUUUUGAGAAACAAAUAGAAGACAUGUUGGAUCAAAUUUACAAAGCACAUCCUAACUUUGAGAGUCAUGAAUACAGUGACUUAACUACUUUAUCCGUUCAGUUUCGACUACUGAGACAACAUGGUUACAAUAUCUCUCCAAGUACGUAAUAUAAUAUAAUAUAAUAUAAUAAUCAACACCGUUACACUAGCACGUAACUAAUAGUAAGUAAUAUUUUGUUUUCAACUUGAACCAGAAAUUUUUAGCAGAUACCAAGAUGCAAAGGGAAAAUUUAACGAACCCCUUAGCAACGACAUCAAAGGUCUAUUGAACUUAUAUGAAGCUUCACAUGUAAGGACUCAUGGAGAAGACAUCUUAGAAGAGGCACUUGCUUUCUCCACUGCUCAUCUUGAAUCUGCAGCUCCACAUUUGAAGUCACCUCUGAGUAAGCAAGUCACACAUGCCCUUGAGCAAUCUCUCCAUAAGAGCAUUCCAAGAGUUGAGACACGAUACUUCAUCUCUAUCUACGAAGAGGAGGAACAUAAGAAUGAUGUGUUGCUUCGAUUUGCAAAACUGGACUUCAACUUACUUCAGAUGUUGCACAAACAAGAACUCAGUGAAGUAUCAAGGUAUGCUAGCUAGUAAUUUACAUGAAAAAUAUAAAUUAAUUGUUACUCGAUAGUAAUUUCUCAAAUCAAUUCUAAAUUUUUAAGAUUGAUUCUUAUUUUAUAGGUGGUGGAAAGAUUUGGAUUUUGUGACAACACUUCCAUAUGCUAGGGAUAGAGCAGUUGAGUGCUACUUUUGGACGAUGGGAGUGUAUGCUGAACCUCAGUAUUCUCAUGCUCGUGUCAUGCUUGCUAAGACUAUAGCAAUGAUUUCUAUAGUAGAUGACACAUUCGAUGCUUAUGGAAUCGUAAAAGAACUCGAGGUUUACACCGAUGCCAUACAGAGGUAUGAACAAUUGCCUCUCCAACAGCAAAUGGUUAAUUUCUUAGAAGGGAAACUUACUUAAUCUUUAUCUUUUAUUAGGUGGGAUAUCAGCCAAAUUGAUCGGCUCCCAGAUUACAUGAAAAUCAGUUAUAAAGCACUUCUAGAUCUCUACAACGAUUAUGAAACAGAGUUGUCAAUGGAUGGUAGAUCCGAUGUUGUUCACUACGCCAAAGAAAGAGUAUGAAUCAUGACUUAUACUAGUUAUCUCAAUAUUAAUCAGUUUGUUAACGAAUAUCUGUAGCUUUUUCUCCUCAUCUUUGCGUAUAAGGAAAUUCAUUUUUUGAAUAAAUACUGAUGUUUGAGUGUCUUUGCUUGUUGUUGACAGAUGAAAGAAAUCGUGAGAAACUAUUUUGUGGAAGCAAAAUGGUUCAUUGAAGGAUACAUGCCACCUGUUUCUGAGUAUCUUAGCAAUGCAUUAGCUACUAGCACUUAUUACUUGCUUACGACAACAUCCUACUUGGGCGUGAAAUCUGCUAACAAGGAAGAUUUUGAAUGGUUGGCUAAGAACCCUAAAAUCCUUGAAGCCAAUGUGACUUUAUGUCGAGUCAUUGAUGAUAUAGCAACCUAUGAAGUUGAGAAGGGUAGAGGUCAGAUUGCAACUGGAAUUGAGUGUUAUAUGAGGGAUUAUGGCGUAUCAACAGAAGUAGCAAUGGAAAAAUUCCAAGAGAUGGCUGAGAUAGCAUGGAAGGAUGUAAAUGAAGGAAUUCUUCGACCAACACCUAUCUCUACAGAAAUCCUUACUCGUAUUCUCAAUCUGGCUCGUAUUAUAGAUGUCACUUACAAGCACAAUCAAGAUGGAUACACUCAUCCAGAGAAGGUUCUAAAACCUCACAUUAUCGCUUUGUUGGUAGAUUCUAUUGAAAUUUAAAUUAUCAAUUCACCAAGGAAUACUUGGUACUUCUCAGUCCCUUAAAUAAGUAAUUGGUGAUAUCGUGCAAUGAAGUUACUUUCUUAACUUUCUUCUUUGUAUUAUCAUUGAUAAUAUUUAAAUUUAAUUACUUCAGUUUCUACCUAGCUGCUUUAGCUUAAUUUGUUUAAGUUAUGUAAAACAAUUCUGAAAGUCAUGACGUGAAAGAAUAUGCUUCAACAGUUUCUGAUUAGCCACAAGAAAAUAAAUAAAAAAUUGAAUAUUCCGUACCUGUCAAAAACGUAUUGACCUCCAUUGCAAGGGCAACUGCGAAUUUUUGGACAUUAUAGUCAACAGGAGCCAUUUGUUUAUUUCUUUUUUAAUUAUUAAAAUUUGGUAAGAUUUGAAAGUAUAUAUAUAAAAAAAGAAAUUAUCAUGUAUUAGCUAGGGAUAAUUUUUCUCACAUGAAAAUAUUUCAAUGGAACGGUUUAUUCAUAACCUUAAAAAGAUUGAAUCAUUUGAAUUUAUAUUUAGCGUGUCAAGAAAAGUACCGCAGAACUAACAUUAAAAUCAAGAAUCAGAAAAAAUCAUAUAUAUUCUUUUAUAUAUAAUUUUAAAAAUGAAAAUUCCUAAGGAUGAGUAUGUCUGUAUUACAACUCGAGGUCAUUCAACUUUAAAUUUAUUAUUCUAAUCUUUUUAUUUGGUAAAAGUCAUCCAAUUUUAAAGUUUAGCACACAAUUUUUUAUGUGAUAAAUUUUAUCAUUUUAUGUAACAAGUAACAAAAAAUAAAAAAAUAAAAAUGUAGGGCUAAUUUCUUGCUAGAUUAAUGAGAACUCCUGCAAGUGUCUACAACUUCCAUGUUUUUUUCUCACAUUUGUCUCUACACUCCCCUCCUCAUUUCGUUUUUCAGUUGUUUACAAUACUAUGAAUCCUAAAGGGACUACUUUUGUUAGACAAAUUAAAUCCCUAGUAGUAUGUAAUAUUAUUUGUGGUAAUAGUUAUAUAUAUAUAUACAUAUAAACCUCACGAAGGAAAAAGAAAAAGAAAAAAGAGAGACGAGAUUAAGAACUUGUUUGGAUGAGCGAGCUUAUAAAAAUAAAUUAUAAGUCAAAAUUAAAAAUCAUAAGUAGAUGAUACUCUAUUUUUGACUUUUGACCUAAAAAUGAGUACUUAAAAACACUUUUUAAUCUUUCCAAAUGAGCACUAAGCUAUGAACAAACUUAAAAGAAAAAAAAUACUUUUAUGUAGAAAUUGACAAGUGAAAAUGAAUUUAGGUUACCUCAGAAAGUAAAAACACUUUGAGGCAAUUUUGAAUUCAAAGUUGCUACAUUCUGCAGCCAAAGAAAUAAAAAAUUCUUAAAGUGCCAUCAAAGUAGACCCUGAAUCAACAAGCACAUAUGAAUAUGCAAUAAUGACAAGAAAAACUAACAUAAACAAUCACUACAUUAUUAAAAAUGAUCUUUAACAGCAAUUAAUUAACAAUUGUCGCUAAAUAUUUAUUUUUAGCGACAAUUAGCAUUCUUUGUAUAUGUCCAUAAAGGUUUUAGCGACAUUGAAUUUAAUGGCACUUAACUAAUGCCAAUAAAGACUUUCAGGGGCGUAUACAAGAGGGGGUCACCGGGUUCACGUGAACCCAUGGUCCCCUCCCGAAAUCAUAUAUAGUAGUGUUAUAUUUUUUUAAAAUAUUUAAAUAUAGAUGUAUGAACCCAGACUCGAAGUAUCAUAUAAUGUAGUACGAUGAUGAUUGGGUGCACCUCUCUAGGUGAGGUUAGAAAUUUGAAUCUUUUAUCUAUCUUGUUUUAGUUUUCUUUCUAAGAUUUUGUAACUGGUUUGAAUAAAUAAAAGAUAAUUUUGGACCUAUGAUUUUAAAAUUUUAAUGAUUUUCAGUAAAAAGAAUCUAACCGAUCAAAUUUAUGUCUUAGAUCCACCUUUUUGUAAUAGUGCACCCAUUAUCUAUAAAUCCUGAAUAUGCCUCUGAAGACUUUAAUACUCUUUAUUAAUUAUCUAUUUAUUACCGCUAAAAAUUAUUUUUGUUAUAGUGAAUAACGAACACAUACAACGUCACUAUAUUUUUUUAUGUAUAAUAUAUAGUCUUUUUCUUGAGUUGAAAUUAGAAACUCUAGUGAAGCAUCGGGCCAACAAAAUCUCCAGUCGCCAAACAAGGAAAAAGAAUAUGAUAAGGCACAAGGAAUUAAAAAAGAAUUGAUUUAAUUUCUACACAGUUAUCAUAUAAUAUUUUUUUUUGUAUAUAUUAGGUCUCUAGAAGAUAAGUAUGGGCAACAUGCUACAACUGGUUAAAAAAAUUUAAACAUGGUCAGAUGGUCACUUAAUUAUGAGCUGUUUUUACAUAAAGUUAAUUAUGAACUGUUUUUACAUAAAGUCAUUCAGUUUUGAUUUUUAACUCACAAGUCACUUAACUAUGAAUUUUUUCAUAGAAAGUUAUUCAACAACUUUGAUUUUUAAAUCAAAAGUCACUCUAUUAUGGAUUCUUUUCACAAAAAAUAACUAAACUGUGUGUUUUACUUGCAAAAUCAGUCAACUUAUUUAAUUAAUUUUUUCAAUAAAAUUUAUUAACUUGAAAUUUUUAUUGAAAACUAAAAUUUUUAAAAAUCUAGAUAUUAUCUCAUAUAAACAGUUAAAAAUAGUAUAUAAAAUUAAAAUUCAAAAAGGAAAAAAAACAUGCUGAGUGUGUGUAUAUAUAGGCUGCGUAUUAUUGCUCAGUUCGGUUCGAUUUUGAAAUUUAUCGGUUUGACUUAUUGGUUAUCGGUUUGACUUAUUGGUUAUCGAUUUGUAGAGAUGCUAAACCGCUAUAGAACCAUUAACAUAUUGACUUAUCGGUUAUUGGUUUAUCAGUCAAACCAAAUGAACGUAACCAUGCACAUGAAUUCACAAAUUGCAUCUUGCUCAAUAACAAACACUUUUAUAUUGUAGAAUAACCAAGAGUUCGAGAUAGCCAAAAAUAAAAGUAGGAAACUAAACUCUAAGUCAAGGACUUAAAUUUAUAUACAAUGGUAUAAAUAAAUUAUUUAAUUUAUUAUUGAAUUAUCGGUUAACCCGUUAAAAAAAAGUUUCAAACUAUUAAGAACUGAUAACUGGAUAACAAAAAAAAUUCAAAACCACUAUCAUAAAAAUAGCUAAAUUAUUAACUCAUUACUGAUAAAUGAAAAAAAAAAAUUAAUACGAAUUAUCGAUUUUGAUUAGAUUUUCCUAAUGUAUAGUCAACAAAGUGCGGCAGUUGGAUGACUAGCAACAGUAACAAGGUAUUUUUUAAACGUGAAAGAUGGCUGAGACAGGGGUUCUCACCAUACAUUAUAAAUACUCUGAUUUUCCACAAGCAAAGUGUAUAUACUAGAAAUGGCCUCAGCUGCAGUAAUGAGUAACUAUCAAGAGGAGGAAAUUAUUCGCCCCGUUGCUGACUUCUCUCCAAGUCUUUGGGGUGAUCGGUUCCAUUCAUUCUCCCUUAGCUUGACAAUCAGGUAUUUAAGGAACUUCCUUUGUAAUGCUGUUAUAUAUAUAAUCAGUUGUUGGAACAGACUUGUUUUAAAAAUGAUUUUUUUUUUGUUUUUAUAUAUAUGUACAGGUUGCGGAGAAGUACGCUCAAGAGAUUGAAACUUUGAAGGAACAAACAAGGAGUUUGUUGUCUGCUUCUUGUGGAAUAACAUUGACUGAGAAAUUGAAUCUGAUAGACAUUGUUGAGCGUCUUGGCAUAGCUUAUCAUUUUGAGAAACAAAUAGACGAUAUGUUGGACCAUAUUUUUAACAUUGAUCCUAACUUUGAGGCUCAUGAAUACAAUGAUUUAUGCACUCUAUCCCUUCGAUUUCGAAUCCUAAGACAACAUGGUUACAACAUCUCUCCAAGUACGUAAUUAAUGUAUAUCAACCAACCACUACGUACAUACAUUCUUCUUUGUUUUUGGAGUAAUUGAAAUUCUAGCUACCUAAUUCUUUGUUUUCAACUGUUCAAUUCAUGAACCAGAAAUUUUUAGCAGAUUCCAAGAUGCAAAGGGAAAAUUCAAGGAAUCUCUUAGCAACGACAUCAGGGGUCUAUUGAACUUAUACGAAGCUUCACAUGUAAGGACUCAUGGAGAAGAUAUUUUGGAAGAGGCACUUGCUUUCUCCACUUCUUAUCUAGAGUGUGCUGCUCCACAUUUGAAGUCACCACUGAGUAAACAAGUGACUCAUGCCAUUGAGCAAUCUCUUCAUAAGAGCAUUCCAAGAGUUGAAACACGCUACUUCAUCUCCAUCUACGAAGAGGAGGAAUGUAAGAAUGAUGUGUUGCUUCGAUUUGCAAAACUGGAUUUCAACUUACUUCAGAUGUUGCACAAACAAGAACUAAGCCAAGUAUCAAGGUACGCUAGUAAUUUAAAUGAAAAAAAGUACUAUUAUUUGUUGAUAGUGACUCUCAGAAACUGAUAUACUUUAUAGGUGGUGGAAAGAUUUGGAUUUUGUGACAACACUUCCCUAUGCUAGGGAUAGAGCAGUUGAGUGCUACUUUUGGACUAUGGGAGUGUAUGCUGAACCUCAAUACUCUCAGGCUCGUGUCAUGCUUGCUAAGACUAUAGCAAUGAUCUCAAUCGUAGAUGACACAUUCGAUGCCUAUGGCAUUGUUAAAGAACUUGAGGUCUACACUGAUGCAAUACAGAGGUACGAAUUACUUCUUGAACAUUUAUGAUUUAAUUAGAUGAUACUAUAAAUUAAAGGGAAAAAAGCAAACUAUAUCGAACAACACAUCUUUGUUCAAUUUUGAAUUUUUGCCUACAAACACUAGAUCACAUUUCUAUAUGUUCUGAUGAACUUAUCAAAUUCAUUUCUUUUUCAUUUAUUAGGUGGGAUAUUAACCAAAUUGAUCGGCUCCCUGAUUACAUGAAAAUCAGUUACAAAGCACUUCUAGAUCUCUACAACGAUUAUGAAACAGAGUUGUCAAAUGAUGGUAGAUCAGAUGUUGUUCACUAUGCAAAAGAAAGAGUAUGAAUCAUGACUUAUUCCAGUUAACCAGUUUAUCAACCAAUUGUGAAGCUUUUUCUCCCAAUUUUUGUUUGUAAUGAAAUUUAUUCUUUGAAGAAGUACGGACGUUUGAAUAUAUAUCUUUUGGUUGUUAUUGAUAGAUGAAAGAAAUUGUGAGAAACUAUUUUGUGGAAGCAAAAUGGUUCAUUGAAGGAUAUAUGCCGCCAGUCUCUGAGUAUCUUAGCAAUGCAUUAGCUACUAGCACUUAUUACUUGCUUACGACAACAUCCUACUUGGGCAUGAAGUCUGCUAACAAGCAAGAUUUUGAAUGGUUGGCCAAGAACCCUAAAAUUCUUGAAGCCAAUGUGACCUUAUGCCGAGUCAUAGAUGACAUAGCCACCUAUGAAGUUGAGAAGGGUAGAGGUCAGAUUGCAACUGGAAUUGAAUGUUAUAUGAGGGAUUAUGGGGUAUCAACAGAAGUAGCAAUGGAAAAAUUUCAAGAAAUGGCUGAGACAGCAUGGAAGGAUGUAAAUGAAGGAAUCCUUCGACCAACUCCCGUGUCUACAAAGAUUCUCACACGCAUUCUCAAUCUUGCUCGCAUUAUUGAUGUCACUUAUAAGCAUAAUCAAGAUGGAUACACUCAUCCCGAAAAAGUAUUAAAACCUCAUAUUAUAGCCUUGUUGGUGGACUCCAUUGAAAUUUAAAUCAUCAAUUAUUGUGUACAUCUGGGAGCACUUGGUUCCCAACCCCUCAAAUUUGUAUUUGAUUGAUGUUUGAUGCCUUGUUGGUAACUCUUUACUAGGGUAAGAACUGCUGGCGAUAGAUGUUGUUAUCGUGCAGUGAAGUUACCUCUCUAAAUUUUUUUAUAUCAGUAUUGACAUAUGAAAUAUAUUACUUCUUUUUAUAUAUGCCUACUUGUUUUAUGAGGUUUGAGAUAAAAUCUAAAGCAUUUCUGAAAAUGGUUUGGUAGACUACACCUCAGCCGUAGCAACAGAUCCUGAUAUAAUAAGCCCAUGAUAAGAAAUCAAAACAUAAAAGAAAACUUCCCAAAUAUAAUAAACCACUUAAAAUUAAUACUACGUAAGAAUCAACCAAGUAAGACGGCAAAAAUUAAUAUAGCCACAGUACAAGUAUUAGUACCACUAAUUGAGGUGUACUAGGAGGGGUAAUUUGAGCCAUAUUAGUGAGUCUAUUUUAUUUAUAUUUAAUUAAAUGGAUCACUCAUUGUUAGCAACAAAUUUUUGUAAGCGCUGAAAAUUAACUGCAAGCAAAAUAAAUAAAAGAAAAUGUGAUUUUUAUUGAUGAAUCGUUGUGAGUACAAUUCUGUUGUUCUCUUGAUUCUCUCUCCUAAGCUUCUCCAAGAUUCGAGGGUCUUCAGUAGCGUACUUUUCGAAUUGUUGGAUGAUGUAAACCUCCUUGAGAUGUUGUCGAUCUCCGGGAACGUCGAAAAGCGCUUCGCCGUUUCAAGUCGAUCUCCGGGAAGAACUCCGUUGAUCACUCCUUUGAAGAGCUAUGUAGUUGAUGUUGCAGCUUUCUCCAAUUGCAGAAUGCUUGUUGAAAGGUGUUCUUAAUGCCUUUAGAAUGUCAUGUCUAUUCCCCUAUUUAUAGUUGUAGGGAGUGGACAAGGUUGCUUGUGAUUGGCCAAAGGCUGUCAUUUUGACACUUGGCGGAUUGUAAUUGGUUCUUGCAUUUGACUGGGAUUACCACCUCAUUUGGACACAUGGCGUCACCUUGUUGGUCUUGGAUGCCUAGUCACUGUGACACGUGGCGUGGGUUUGAGCUUCAAGGUGAAAUGGACCUUGGACUUGAAUUUAAUAAAAAUGGACUUAUUUAUUUGUAAAGCCCAAAUUAAUCAUUCAACCUAAUAAACAUGGAUUUAAUCCAAAUUUUAUAUGAAUUAAAUCCAAUAAAAUUUGUGUGUCUAUACUCAUUUAUUUUUAAAUAGAUAAAUAUGGACUUCAACCUAUUUAAGCUCAUAUAAAUAUGAACAAAGUGGAUAAAAUUAAAUAUGAGAAUUCAUAUAGAUCCAUGGAUCACCCAAUUAAAAUAAAAAUUCCUAAUUGCAGUAAAAAGAAAAUGAAAAAAAAAAUGAGGGUGGGGCUAGGGUGGAGGUGGGGGUGCGAUUUUCUUUUAAUGAAAAAUUAUUAUUUAAAAAAAAAAAUAAUGUCAAAAAUAUCUUUAGCGACAAUUAAUUAACGGUAGUAACUUAAUUGCCACUAAUUAUGCAUUUUUAGAAGCAAUUAACACUCUUUGUAUAUGUCCAUAAAACCUUUAACGACAUCGGAUUUAAUGACAAUUAACUAAUGUCUGUAAAAACUUUAGCCUUCUUUAUUAAUGUGUAUAUUUAUCAUGCUAAAAAUUGUUUUUGUUAUAGUGGUGAGGUGGGGUGGUAGGGGUAUGAACAAAUUUGCUUUAAAGAUUUAAUAUUUUUUGUCUUUAGAAAAUUAAAAAAUCAUUUUAUCUAAAUCAUAUUUAAUCAAAUUCAUAUUUAUCCGUAUAUUAUAUGAUUGGAUGAUAGUUCAAUCCAUUUUGACUCAAUCUAUAUUCAAUUAAUCCAAUCCAAUCCACCCGUUUUUCACCCUAAGGUGUAAAGACAUAAUACUCUCUAUUUCUAACUUUUAAUUCAGCCCCAUUGUACUGCAGAUUCAGUUUGUAGUACAGAAAACAAGGUUUGCCCCAAAAUUUAAAGCUACUGCUUGAUAAAAGCUCAUUUAAAUUAGUACUGUUCUGUAACGAUUACAACUCGUAGCAUUAUGGGUAAAAAUUUAUCCGCACCAGAUGUUUAUAUCAGAUCAGAUUAUACUGCCUCUCCCAAAUGCAUAUCGCCACACUUAUGUAUGGGCACCAGACAGUCCACAACGACAAUGGAUAUGCUUUCUAGUUUCUAGUAUCCUCUCUCAAACAUGCAUGUAGCACUCCGAUCCAUAGGCGGAGAAAAAAGGGGCAAAAGAGUUCAUCUAAUAAAUCUUUUUCGCUCAAAAAAUUACAUUAUAUAUAUCAUGUUUAAAUUAUUUAUUAGGUAGAUGUUGAACUCAAUUCAACCUGAUUCUACUUAAAGAAAGGAGGGGCAUAAGUUCUUUUGUUUGUUGUAUUUAUUUCUUUAUAUUUUGAAUUUACUUAAUAAAAAAAUAUUACACUACUGCAUAGUACACUUGAGAACACCCAUAAAAUAUAGUUUUAUGAAGUUAAAAAGAUCCAGAGGAAGAUGUUGUGAGGUCCAGCCUUAUAUCCCAUCUUUUAAGGAAAAAAAUCUUUCUUUGAAAAUAUUUGCAGCAAAUUUGACAAACUUUUGUUGAAAUUGGCUAUCGGCCAAUUAAUAUAAGGUGAAAAAAUGGGCAAACUUCAUGCCUAUAGGCUAUAAAUAGACAUCUACAUCAGUUUAAACACGCGAGGGGAAAUCAAAAGAGGAUUUCUUUAUUUUGAAAAAUUUUAUAUCAUUUUUCUUUUAUUAUAUUUACGGUAAUUUUUUUUGUGUUAUUCCUCAUUUUCCCAGCAGAUGCCACGCACUGUAGGAUAAACAGAGGAACCAUGGAAUAUAAAAUUAGAAUUAAAAACAUACAAUACAAUAUAUUAGUAGGAGUAGAGGUGACAGAAUGAGUAAUUGAUAUGGGUAUUCAUUGAUAUGGGUUAAAAAUGUUUAUUCAUAAAAGAAAAAAUAAUAAUUUGGGUACCCAACUCAUUUAAAAAUAAGUAAAAAUGAAUAAUACUCAUAUUUAUCCAUUUAAAAGUGAUAGUUAAAUGGAUAAUACGGGUAAAAAAUGUUCAUUCAUAAAAGAAAGAAAAGUGAUUAGGGGUGGGUGGUAAAAAAUAUUUUUUUCUAUAAAAUUUUAACUUUUUAUAUAUUUUUUGGGAUAGAGGGGGGCUGGUAGGGAAUGGAGUGGUAAAAAAAAAAUUCAAAUGUUUCUUUUUAAAAAAAAUAAUUUUUUUUGGGAUGGGGGUAGGGGGUGUGGGGGGGANNNNNNNNNNNNNNNNNNNNNNNNNNNNNNNNNNNNNNNNNNNNNNNNNNNNNNNNNAGGGGGAUUGGGUGAAAAAAAGAACUUGUUAAAAAUUAUUUUUUUGUAAAAAAACAAACUAUUUUUUUUCCGAUUUUUUUACAUUUUUUUGGGAUAGGGGGUGGAGGAUGGUAGGGAGGGUGGAGUGAUAAAAUAAAAUUUAAAAAGAUUUUGUUUUUAAAGCUUUUAACAAGAUCUCUACUAUAAUAUGUAUAUCCUACCCAUAUUAUUCAUUGAAUAACUCGUUUUUACCCAUUUAAAAUAUAAAUAAAGUCAAUCCAAGUUAUUUUUAAUCGACUUAUAUUUGACUUGAUUCGUUCGUUUGUCACUUCUAAGUAAGAGUAAUAUAGUCAGGUAAGGAUGACGGAAAAAAAAAAAAUAAUCAAGGAUGACGGCAUGCAUUCAGUAACAGGAAUUUGGAAAACGUAGACGUCCCUCCAUCCAUCCAUCCAUCCCAUAUAAGUUAUUUAUCUUACUAAAUUAAGAAAAUAUUAAAAAAAUAAAUUCUAUAUUAUUCUUGCAAUUAAUUUUUUUUUAAAGUAUUCACAUUUAUUUGUAAAAUUUCCUAAAAAAUUAUUAAGGAGUGAAUUAAUAAAAUUAUCUUUUCAUCUAUAAUUUUUUAAUAUACUUGCAAAAAAAAAUCAACUUAAUAAAUUUAAUUUAAAGUAGAAGAAUAGGCAUGUUAUUUGUGGGCGGAGCCAUUUUUUAUAAAGAGUGGUUUGAUGCAUAUUUUUUAUGGAAAAUUCAUAUGGUAUACAUGAAGUUGAAAACUAGACAGUCUUCGCUAAAUAUGACUCAGAAGAAAUUACACAUUCUUUCCUAAAUUUUUAGCUCCGCCACAAAUGUUGUUCACAAGAAUUUAGAUACACGGUAAAUUAAAGUUUCAUGCUGCAAACAUAUAUAAAUAAAAUCCAAAAAGAAAAAAAAAUAUGUUGUCAUAUUAUAAAGGAGUAUUAGAAUAUAAUAGGCUCAGUGGCGUAGUUGAACACUUCUAUCGAAAAAUCAUACUUAUUUAUAGCAAAUUAUAUAAAAUAUAUAGUUUAAAAUUAUUUUUCACAUAUAUAUAAAAUUCUAAACAUUCUUAAAGAGAAAAAAAUUUCACCUCUGUAAAAAAUAGAACAACUAGUGAUUAGUUAUCAGUAUAUUAUGACCCGUUUGGCAAUAUAUUUUCAAGUAAAAUUUGGAAAAAAAUUUGACAAAUAGUGUGUCCAUAAAACUUGCCAUUAUUUUGGUAAUUCCAAAUACUAGUUUUUCUAGUAUUUGGACCAAAUCUCAUUAUUUGGGCCAAAUCUCAUAUUGGAGCUUUUAAAAAUUCAAAUUCUACACGAAACUUUUAUCUUUUACAUAAAUACCCUCUACUUAUUAACACUAAAACACUCACUCCGAACUAGCACAUUGCUCCAGUGUCAUGGGCACUACUUGUUAUUUGUUGCAACGUAGAUCCAACUAACUUGUUGCGGAAGUCAUGAAUCAUGUUACGUCGACAUUUCUAUAAUUCUAUCUUGCUAAGUAAUACAAUACAAACUUAUAGUUAGAUUUGAUAGUAUCUUAAACUUAUGGAUGUAAAUCAUAUUUCUUAAAAAGUGAAAUAUGUUUCUCCAAUACUGGCUAAACACAUGGUGAAAUUUCACCCAAAUCUUCACUCAAGUAAUAAUUGUCAUACUUGAAAUCUAUGAUCAAACACUAGCAUAGUUAAGUGUGGCAACCCCCAACAUGACUACUACAAUGUAUGAGAAAAUAAAUAAAUUCAACACAUAAUAUUUCAGAUAAUCAUUCAAUUAUUCAUUCUUCUCUUAAAAAGUUAUUCAGAUUUUAAUUCUUCACACAAAAGUCAUUUUGACUAUUAAUUUUUCUCUUAGAAAUUUAUUCAACUUUGAUUUUAACUCAGUAAUCACUCAAUUAAGAGUAUUUUUCUUACAAAGUCAGUCAAACUAUUUAAUUAAUUUUCUAUUAAAAUUUAUCGACAUAAAAAAAAUUAAAUGAAAAUUUUGAAUAAAAUAAACGAAUAUCUAUUUAAAUCAUACAUUUUAAUGACUUGGUUCGCUGAAAAUAUAAUAUUAAUCUUUUUAUUCUAAUAUUAUUCUCCUCUAAAUGUAAUAUUGAUCUUUUAGAGCCUUGCUGAAGUCUUCAUCACCUUAACUCCUUAAGCAACUGUGAAGCUACUUCCUGCGAUAAUUGUAGUAAAUUACUUGUGGGAGUAUUAAGAUAUUAUUUUUUAUCAAAAUAUUAAGUAUAAAAAAAAAUUUAUCUGUAAGUUGCCAAACAUUUUUAUAAAGUUUUAAGCCAUCACUAAUAAGUUGUGUCGUGACUAAGAGUCUAUUUGGCAUUACUGCUAAAAAUAACUAAAUUUUAGAAAUAUUUUUUUUAAAUGUCAUUUUAGAAAAAGUGCUUUUGAAAAAAAAAACAAUUUUUGUUUGGCUAAUUCAUUUGAAAAAUACUUUUCAUAAGCAAAUUGUGUUUUGGCUGAUUUUUAAAAAAAAGUGUUUUUGAGAGUUAAAUUACAAAAAGGACAACUAUUAAUGUACUUUUAAUAUUAAAAUUAUUUAUAGAGAGAAACUAUUUUAAAUAUCUAUUAUAAAAAAACUAAUCACUUUUUUAUUUUUAUUACAUUAAAAUGUACAUAUUUAAAUUUUCAGUCAAUAUUAUACAUUUGUUGGGAGGCUGAAAUCUUUAAUUGUUAUUUUUUUUUCUUUUUUCUAAUCUUCCAAAAAUAUGUUGUUACCUUUUUCUAAUUCUGCAAAAUAAUAUGUAAAAUAAUAUGUAAUAUAUAAAAUAAUAAUAUAUAAACUUAAAAUAAAUUACAAAAUUAAUUAUAUAAAAAUAAAAAUAAAAUUCUUAAAACUGCUUGUGCUUCCGUCUAAAACACUUUUACUAAUUUAUUAAGCACUUGAUUUUUCAACAAAUUUUUUUUUUCUCAAAAUAAGUGUUUCUGGCCUCUCAACAGAUAACAACAAUGUCAAACAAACUCUAAAUUAAUGAAUUUUGGAUUAAAAAUCAAAGAUGAGUGAGUUUAUGAGAGAAAAGUUCAUAAUUGAAUUACUAGGUAAGAUAUCAUCUCGAAUUUCAAUCAUGAAAAAUGGCUAUGACAAAUGCUCUCACCAUUCAUUUAAUAUUAUAAAUACUCGUUACCUUCUCUUAAAUUCUAUAGUACAAAGAAACCUAACAAAGAAAAAAGAAAUGAAAGGAAAGGAAAUUUUCUCUGUUCUACGUAAGCUAAGAGUAGUAGAAAAGUCUCCAGCUGCUGACUUCUCUCCUAGUCUUUGGGGUGAUCGUUUCCAUUUAUUUUCCCUUGACAAUAAGGUAUGUAUUUUGUACAUGUAUUUCUUAUCUUGUUAAAGGAGAUUCAUUUCUGACAUUUUCUUUUUAAAUAUAUUUGCAGGUUGCUGAAAAGUAUGUUGAAGAGAUUGAAACUUUGAAGGAACAAACAAGGAGUAUAUUAAUGUCAGGAAAAACAUUGGCUGAAAAGUUGAAUCUCUUUGAUAUUGUUGAACGCCUUGGAAUUGCUUGUCACUUUGAAAAACAAAUAGACGACAACAUUGAUCCUAACUUUGAGGCUCAUGAAUACAAUGAUUUAUGCAUUUCAUCCCUUCAAUUUCGACUCCUAAGACAACAUGGCUACAAUAUUUCUCCAAGUAAUAUAUCUAUCAAGUUCUACUUCAUUAAUUUCUUGUUAUAUCUUUAGUUUUGUUUUUCCCUAAUUAAAUGUACAAGGACUAACUUGAACCAGAAAUUUUUAACAGAUUCCAAGAUGCAAAGGGAAAUUUAAACAAAUCCAUUGGUAACAACAUCAGGGGUCUAUUGAACUUAUAUGAAGCUUCACAUGUAAGGACUCAUGGAGACAACAUCUUAGAAGAGGUGCUUUCAUUUUCCACUGCUUAUCUAGAAUCUGCAGCUCCACAUUUGAAGUCACCUCUGAGUAAACAAGUGACUCAUGCCCUUGAGCAAUCUCUCCAUAAGGGCAUUCCAAGAGUCGAGACACGCUACUUCAUCUCCAUCUAUGAAGAGGAGGAAUUUAAGAAUGAUGUGCUGCUUCGAUUUGCCAAACUGGACUUCAACUUACUUCAGAUGUUGCACAAACAAGAACUAAGCGAAGUAUCAAGGUACACUAAUAAUUUACAUAAAAAAUAUAAAUUAUUUGUUGAUAGUAAUUUCUAAGAUUGGUACUUAUUCUGUAGGUGGUGGAAAGAUUUAGAUUUUGUGACAACCCUUCCAUAUGCUAGGGACAGAGCAGUCGAGUGCUACUUCUGGACAGUGGGAGUGUAUGCUGAACCUCAAUACUCUCAGGCUCGUGUCAUGCUUGCUAAGACUAUAGCAAUUAUUUCAUUAUUAGAUGACACGUUCGAUGCUUAUGGCACUGUAAAAGAACUUGAGGUCUACACUGAUGCCAUACAGAGGUAUGGACUACUUCUCAAACAUUUUAUCAUUUAAUUAGAUGAUCCCAUAAAGGUGGGCGAACUGUCCAUUUUGGUGUGUGUUUUUAGAGAGGGUCCCUUUUGGUGUUUAAGGUUCAAAAAGUGUCCGUUUUGGUGCCGGGCUCAGGAAAAGACCAUAUCAAACAACAUAUUUAUGUAAAAUUGUAUAUAUUCCCCCUCCUCCCCCCCCCCCCCCCCUACCAAUUUGUAAUUGGAGACAAGCCUUGACGUCAAACACUAGAUGUUUCUCCUUCUUCCUAUGAUGUAUGUUAUGUUAAAUUGAACUUGUCAAAUUCAUUUGCUUUUUCAUUUAUUAGGUGGGAUAUUAGCCAAAUUGAUCGGCUCCCAGAGUACAUGAAAAUCAGCUACAAAGCACUUUUAGAUCUCUAUAACGAUUAUGAAACAGAGUUGUCAAAGGAUGGCAGAUCUGAUGUUGUUUAAUAUGCAAAAGAAAGGGUAUGAAUCGUGAAUUAUACUGGUUAACUCAAUAUUAAUCAGUUUUUUUUUCUCCUCAUUUUUGCUUAUAAUGAAAGUUAUUGUUUUGAUAUGUAGUGAUGGUUGAAUGUCUUUGCUUGUUGUUUGACAGAUGAAAGAAACAGUGAGAAACUACUUUGUGGAAGCCAAAUGGUUAAUUGAUGGAUAUAUGCCACCUUUUUCCGAGUAUCUUAGCCUACGUUAGUUGCUAGCACUUAUUACUUGCUUACAACUACAUCCUGCUUUGACAUGAAGUGUGCUAACAAGGAAGAUUUUGAAUGGUUGGCCAAGAACCCUAAAAUUCUUGAAGCCAAUGUGACCUUAUGUCGAGUCAUUGAUGACCUAGCCACAUAUGAGGUAUACAUUGCAUCAAAUAAAGUUACAUAUAUGCGUUUACCUAGUUGCAACCAUGAAGUGAUAAAAAUUGAUUUCAUACUUCUACGAACACAUUCUAACUUCCAAUCCAGGUUGAGAAGGAUAGAGGUCAGAUUGUAACUGGAAAUUGAGUGUUACAUGAGAGAUCAUGGUGUAUCAACAGAAGAGGCAAUGGAAAAAUUUCAAGAAAUGGCUGAGAUAGCGUGGAAGGAUCUAAAUGAAGGAAUUCUACGACCAACUCCUGUAUCUAUGAAGAUUCUCACUCGUAUUCUCAAUCUUGCUCGCAUCAUGGGUGUCAUAUACAACCAUAACCAAGAUGGAUACACUCAUCCUGAAAAAGUACUAAAACCUCACAUUAUGGCCUUGUUUGUGGACUCCAUUAAAAUUUAAAGCAUCAAUUGUUGUAUACGGGAGCACUUGGUUACUAGCCCCUCAAAUAAGUAAUUGAUCUACAUUUGAUGGUAUAUCUGUAGCUAGUUACGGUAGCUAGGUAAUCAAAUAAUAAUAAAGAAUAUUCAAAGUAUCAAUUUCUUACAGGAAAUAAAUUAUAAUCUCAAUCAUUAAACUACUUAUAAGACGAAUCGUGAUACUAUACUGAGACACUUGGUUAAUCAUGUCCUUGUGGUCUAAUAAUGCAGGUCUAUUGAUCUAGUUGUCCAUAUUGACUAGCCUCAUCAAAAAUAAAAUUAUUGAUUAUGACCAUUUCAUUAUUUUAGCAAUUACUAGUACCUUUUUUCGCAUUCCUGGACUUUAUAAUGUCAUAGACCGGAAAUAAAAGGGAAAAAAAAGAGAGAGAUUUGGGGGAGGAGAACCAGGGAAGAGGCUGUGCAUGGAAUGGGCAACUAGUAAAAUUGUACAUCUCAUGCGCUGCCUCGUCCCUGUCUAUCCUCUCCACUUUUGAAUAUCAUUCUACACCAUAAUUACCUCAAUAUAUAGGGACUCCUUAAUUUCGCCAAUAAUGCUAAACAUUCCUUCCAUCUGGAGUAUACAUGAAAAGGCCUUUUCCUGAUGAAAAUUUUCAAUGACCAAAAGGUAAUUAGUGCAAUGGCUGUUUUAUGAUGGAGUAAGGACCAGAAGAAGAAAUAGUCAUAGUACAAGUGAUAGUACUACUAAUUGAGGAGUACAUACAUAGGACCCUUUCUGUUUCUAACUUUUAAUUGAAUCCCUGCAAUGGCUGUUUUAUGAUGGAGCAAGGACCAGAAGAAGAAAUAGUCAUAGUACAAAGUGAUAGUACCACUAAUUGAGGAGUACAUACAUAGGACCCUUUCUGUUUCUAACUUUUAAUUGAAUCCCAUUAUUGUACUGCAAAUUCAGUUUGUAGUACAAUAACAAUGUUUUCCCCAAAAUUAAAAGCUACUUUUAGAUGCCCAUUUAAAUUGACUUAUUUUAGGUGUUUUUAAGUCAAAAUAGAUUUUAAACAGUUUUGAAGUGUUUGGAUAAAGAGCCCGUUUGGAUUGACUUAAAAAAGCAAAUUUUUAAAGUACUGGAACUUAUUUUUAAAAUAAGUAGUUAUGUGUUUGGAUAAAAGUGUUGCAGUUGAAAAAAAAGUUGUUAAUGUGUUUGGCAAAUAAGUGCUGGUAAACACUUUUUUUUUUAUCAAAAUGUCUGAAAUACCCUUAAAGCUAUUAACAUGAUAAAAAGUUGAUUGAUUUAAGGUUUUUAUACUUAAAAAAAAUUAAAACAAAAUUAAUUUAUAUUUUACAUCCAUAAGUAAUAAUAUUUUCCUAUCAUUCACAUAUUUCUUUAUCAUCCCAAAUUAUUUGUAAGAGGAAUAUAAAUUUAUUAUUUAAGUUAAUUUUAUAUGCGCAACUUAUUGUAGAUUUUAAAAAUAUAUAAUUUGAAUAAAUCAAAGGAAAGAUUUUAAGAUUUAUUUUAGUUACAUUACAUAAGUAAUAAUAAUUGUCUUAUCAUUCACACAUUUCUUUUAUUCAUACACCAAAAUUUAUUUAUAAGAGGAAUAUAAAUUUAUUAUUUAAGUUAAUUUUAUAUGUGCAACUUAUUUUAGAUAAUAAUAAUAAUAAUAAUAUAAUAUUAUUAUUAGUAGUAGUAGUAGUAAUAGAGAUGUUAGGGUUAAUUCAAUAUGGGCAAUUUGGAAAUUGUAUAAAAGAAUAAAGGGCAAAAAGGUAUAUACUUGGUCAACAUAAAAGAGCUUUUAAGUUUUUUUUUUUAAAAAGCACCCCUCACCUAGUUUUUAGCUUUUGGCUUAAAAUAAGUCAUUUUUGACUUAAAAUAAGUUACUUUGAGAAUUGCCAAACACUCUAAUAAGUCAGUUUGACCAGCUUAAAAGCCCAUCCAAACAGGCUCAAAGUUAAAAAGUGCUUAUAAGCACUUAUUUUAAAGCCAAAAUAACAAAAAUAAGCCAAAAGUCAUAAGUUAAAAAUCUUAACUUAUGGCUUUUGACUUAUAAGUCAUAAGCCAAAAGUCAAUCCAAACAGGCAAGCUCUUUUAAAUUACUAAUACUCACAUAGCUCAUACAAGUAAUAUUUUUGGAGACACCCUUCGCCUACGACCUAAGGUCGUACAUUCAAGUCACUAAGCAAGGAAAAAGAUGAGAUGCGUGUUGUGGGCACCAGACAGUCUCGCUGAUCCAACUACCACACAAUCCACUGUUAGCUACUGAUGUUAACAUCAUCAUAUCAUGCAACAACCAGCUAUGUUGCCUGUAUUUGGGAAAUUACAAAUGAUAAAUUUUAAAUAAUACUCCCUCCGUCCACUUUUAUCUGUUGUUUAUUUCUAAAAUUGAUUUUCAUUUUUACGAUUAUAUUUUUUCAUGUUUUAUCUUCAGCAUUAAAUAUUUUUUCUCCAAAUCAUUUUCCAAGACUUAAUACUAAACAUAAUUUAGUAUGAAUAGUUUGGUAAAAUAUUUAUAUCAAUAAUUAUUUUACUAAUGGGUAUGUCAAAUCAAAUGGUGACAAGUAAAAGUAAAUAGAGGGAGUAUAUUUGGAUUAUUGAAUUUUCUUUGUGCUAUAAAAUAAAAAUCAAAACAUGAAAGAAAAAAAAUGACAACUCAUAAGUUAAGGUUAGAAAAUACUGGGAAUUAAAUGAUAUUGUAGUGACAUAUAAAUUAAAUGAUUUUUAAAAAAAUAGUAUUUUAAUUUAAAGAAAAAUGUAUGUAGUAAUAUUAGUAUAUAUCUCCUAAAACUAAUUAUUAUGUAUGAAAAAUAAAAAUAAAUUGAUACAUAUAUUAAAUUGCAUCAUUAUCUACCCAAAUGUAGUUAGAAGUCGUAGAAUCUUGCUUCGACUUAAACUCAUAAAUAUUUAAAUAGUAGGAGAAAAAAAAAGAGGGAGAUGAUAAGUACUUGAAACGGAAGAUGGUAGAAAAGAAGUCUCGAGAAAUUGUGUAUAUUUCAACCAAAUAAAAUAGGAGUAGUAGAAAAGACUUAUUUAUAUUGAGAAUUUAAGAGUAGUAGAAAAUACUUAAUUUAAUUAUUAUGAAAUGUUAUGAAUAGUAGAAAAUACUUAAUUUAAUUAUUUAUGAAAUGUUUUUAUUCUUUUAAAUAAAAUAUUAUAAUACAACUCUACCAUUUAGAGCUUUCCACUUUUAAUAUAAAAUAUAAUGUAAUAAAAUGAAUUCAAUUUUUAAGAUUUUCACUAUUAAAAUUGUGAAAAAUUAAAGUUGAUUUUUUAGAAGUACAAAAAAUAUCAUAGAUAUUUAGUAGAACUUUCUAGAAUUUGGUAGAGUAAAUAUCUUUGAUAUUUAUACUUAAGAAAAAUAUAAAUAUUCUAGAUAAUUAGAUAUUUAUAGUAAAAUAUAGUAAUAUCUAGAUUCUUGUUACAUAGUUAGAAGACAAGGAUAUCUAGAUAUCUCUUGUAGAUGUAUCUAGAAUAAUUUCUAGAAGCAUCCGUAUACAAGUAUAAAUAGGGGUGACAUUAGGCAUUUGUAAUAAACCCAAGAAAACCCAAAAACAAAUCUAAUUCAAGAGUCUUCUUACAUAAACAAGUUCUCCUUUCUAGCUUCUUCUUCUUUAGUUGAAUCUUCCGAUCUUAGUUAACGAUCUUGGGCUAGCAAAAUGUUUCGCAAUUAUACAUUUCUUCUGCUAUUCUCUACAAAAAUAAUUAUACUACAUUAAAUUAUGAGUUUGGAUAUAAUAGGUAAUAAAUUUUAAUAUGUGAUAUAUAUAUAUACACACUCUAUACUGAAAGUUACAUCCGCUUCUGCGUGUAAGCCAAAUAAUUAAUGUGAAUCGGAGCAUCCGUAUUUUAGAUUUUUGUUAGUAACAAGAAUAUUACCGUUCUUGCAAUAGUCAGGUAAGAAAUUAAAUCAAGAUAAGCUUUGAUAAUAUUUACUUUCAGCGUGUGCUUUCUCAAACAUCUCCACAGUACCAAGGUCCAAGGACAGAGAUAGGAGCUCAAGGGUGUUAAUCUUAAAUUAAUAUUAAAAAUUACAGUGUAUAUACAUAAUACAAGGUUAUAUUCUGAAUCUCCUUAAUGAAAAUUUUAACUCCUUUACAAUAUACUACAUUCUAAAAAAGAUGGUUAUUUGGGUACACGGAUAAGGCGGGAUAUUUAAGUUUGGGAUUAGAUUGAUACUUUAUUCCUUACCACAUCCAACUUGGAAUUUUUCUAUGGAUAAACUAGUCCAUGAAUUAUAAUUGCGAGAUAAUUUUGUCCGCGUACAAAACGAAUAGCAAAUUCAUCAAAGUAGACCUAGCUACUCCACUGCAUAGCUACGUAAAGAACACAAACAUGAAGUAAAAAUAUCCGGAGGAAGACGAAAUGCACUGAAGGAAAAACAAAUGGCACAUCACACAAGGAAUAUAAAAUUAGUAGAAAAAGAUAUAUUAUCAUCAUAUCAUGAUAUCAUCAUCAUCAUAUAUAUAUAGAUAUAUAUAUUAUAAGUGGAAAGUUCCAAAGUGAAAAGUUAAAUUACCAUUUUGCUCCUUUUCUAAAUUAAAAUUUGAUUAAAUAUAAAUAUUUUAAUUACAUAAUGAUAGAAUUUGAAGUCCUUAAGCCCUUUAAUAAUUAAAUUAUCAUUUUCUUGAUAAAUAACUAAAUGAGUACAUUGAUAUUGCUUUUAAUAGUAAUUAUAAAUCUCAUAAUGGAAGAAGUUGAAAAGUUAUGAUAUGGAAAGUCAUUCAUCACUUUAAUGUAGAAAUCAAUUUCAGAAUUAAAAUUUGAAUUUAAAGGGUCAUUUCUUAAUGCUAUAUACGAACCAACUUACAAAGAUGAAAGCUCACAAUAGAAAAUUGAAUUAAGUUGUAUAAUUCGCUAUACAUAUGCAAAAAAAAACAGUUGUAUAAUCUGCUUUGGUAUACAUAUACAAAAAGAUCAAUUGUAUAAAGUGAGAGAGGCGAGUGAGAGAGCGAGAUCUGGGAGAGUGGUGAGCGAGAUCUGGGAGAGGGGAGAGAGGGGAACGAAAAUAUAUGUAUAUAUACAAUUUUCUCUCGCUUUAUACAAACACAAACGCAUUUUAUACAAUUUGCGUUUUUUGUAUAAAGUGAGAGAGGCGAGUGAGAGAGCGAGAUCUGGGAGAGUGGUGAGCGAGAUCUGGGAGAGGGGAGAGAGGGGAACGAAAAUAUAUGUAUAUAUACAAUUUUCUCUCGCUUUAUACAAACACAAACGCACUUUAUACACUUGCAUUUGUAUAAAAAACGAGAGAGGCGAGCGAGAGAACGAGGGUGGCGAGCGAGAUUCACCAGGAGAGAGGUGAAAUAGUAACAGUUUGCUAUGAGGUACAAUUAAAUCAAACUAUAUUUAUAGCAUUUAAUUUGAAUUAAUAGUUUGCUAUUAUAUACAAUUUUCCCUAAAUUUAAUACACGUGUAGUAUUAAACAGUGAACAGUCUUAUGUUGAUAUGUUGUCUCUAACAAUAACAAAGUUUUCUUUUCAGAGCAUGAGGACUUUCUUUGCAAUAUCCUCAACUUUUGUUCUUGCUCUCUUUCUCCAUUAUAGAAUUUUUCUUUCAUGAAACAUUCAUGGGUGUUGAACUUGAAGUAUAGAUAUCAAUUUAAGGUAUAUGUAGAAACUUUCUUAUUGUGCAUUUAAAUGAGAACCAUUAAUCAUUUUUGUUAUUCAUUUUUGCACAUACUAAUAUAUCAUAUGUUUAGACCUAAUAACAUAAAAAUGUAACUCAUUAUUUUAGUUACCAAACUAAAUUUUGCAGGUUCAUCAAAUGUCUAAUCAUUUGACAUACAAUAAAGAAGUUAUUUGAAUACAUUGAUUGUUUAUCGAUUUUAGAUUAUAUUUUUUGUUUGAAUAGCUUGUGAUACUGAUUAAAAUGUGAUUUUGACAAUAAUUCAUACCUUUCACAGGACUCACAUGCAAAACACGUGUCCAGGACUAGUAUUAUUAAAAGUGAAAAGCUUCAAAAUGAAAAGUUGAAUUACUAUUUUACCCCUAGACUUAAUUAAAAUAUUAAAAAAUAUUUAAAAAAAUUAAAUUAAUUUAAUUAUUCUUUUAAAACCCAAACAUGAUGAAUUUGAGUAAAUUAAAUCCAAUAUAGCCCAGGUUCAUUUAACUAAUAGUUCAUUUACUUUUAAUAUGACAACGUUUUAGGCUUUUAACAUUCUCUUUGAAUGUAGGUAUAAUGCAUUAAGUUUGGAAAUUAAAUCUUUAUUUAAAAAAGAAAAAAACAUCUCAUAACAAUUGGUCUUUUCUACUACUUCAAACAUCUUAUAAUAAAGUGAGUCUCUUCUACUUCUCCUAACAUCUCAUAAAUAAAUUGAGUCUUUUCUACUAUUCCUAACAUCUCAUUAUAAAUAAGUCUUUUUUACUAUUUCAUUUGGUUAAAAUAUUCACAAUUUCUUGCGCCUUUUCCUCCACCAUCUUUAGUUUUAGGUACUUAUCAUCCCCAUCCCCUACCCCCUUCCCCAUCUUUUUUUUUUUGCUUACUUUCUUAAUAUUCAUAUGUUUGAAUCGAAACAAAGUUUUAUGACUUCUAACCACGUUUGGAUUGAUCAUGAUGCGAUUCAAUAUAUGCAUCAAUUUAGUUUUUAUUUUUCAUGCAUAAUAGUUAAUUUUACAACAUAAAUAUUUUUUAUUACAAUUGUAUUUAUCUUUAAAUUAAAGUACUAUAUAUAUCACUAAAGUAACAUCAAAAUUGCAAGAACUUCUAAUCUCAAUUUAUGAGUUUGUUAUUUAUUUUUUAUUGUAUUGCUUUGAUUUUUAUUUUAUAGCACAUAAAAAGUCUAAUAAUAUAUAUGUCAUUUAAAAUUUAUCAUUUGUAAUAUAAAAUUUAUUUUAAAUAUUUUAGGAUAAAAUAUACAAUGCAUGUUCCCAGAGACUAAUAUUAUAAAUAGUAAUAGUUAUCUUAGUUAGCAAAUAUAUUAGUACUAUUACAUAUAGUCAAGUAAGGAUCAUGAGGGAAAAAAUAGUCAGGGAUGACAACAUUAAGCAGACGAUGUUUCCGGUAACUUAGAGCCUGUUUGGCAUUGUUGUUAGGAGGUCAAAGUGUUUUUUUAUGAAAAAAAUAUAGUGUUUGGAAAAUUCUUAAAAUUGUUUUUAAAUGAAAGCAGAAGCGGAAACUGUUUUUCUGUUGUUAGAAGAAACUAAAAAUAUCUGCUUUUAAAAAAAAGCAAAAGCAGAAAAUUAUUUUCUUGAAGACUAAGAGAUAUCCCUCACAAGUCUCGUAUAUACAUAUUUACCAAUAUAUCCUUAUUAAUUAAUUAGCAUAUCUCAUAAGUUCGGUUAAGUUUCAAUCAAGAAUUUUUAUUUAUUUAUUUAAUAACUUUUUAUUUUUUAUUUUAUGUUUAUAUAUUAUUAUUAUUUAUUAUUUUAUGUUUUAUUUUACAGAAUCAUAAAUAAAUGUAACAACAACAUUUUGUAGAAUUAAAAAUAUGAAGGACUUUAUUUAAUUUUGUGGUGAAUUUUUGUAUUUAGUAGUUUAAUUUGUGGAAUGAUUUUUAAAUUUAUUUUUCUUGAUAUUUUGAAUUAUAUUUAAGCCAUCAUGUUGAUAUUAUAUUAAUAUUUUAUUUAUUUAUUUAUGUAUAAUAUUGAUUGAAAAUUUGAAUAUAAAAUAAUCUUAAUAUUAAAAAUACAUUCAUACUUGCCUUUUUUCGUAAUUUGACUCUCAAAACCACUUUUUAAAAAAGAUUAAUCAAACACGAUAUUCGUAAGAAGUUUCUAUAUACUUUCUUGUACAGUAGCUUUGUAGUCCCCAAGUUGAAGAAAUACAAAAUUCAGAAAAUUUCUCACGAUCCUUUCUAGUAUAUUUCUUUAUAUUCUUUCAGAAGAAAGGGCAUGCUGUUUACAAGAAGGUAGAUAAAAGUAGGCUGCAAGUAUAUACAAGUCUAACCAAAAAAAGUCAUGUUGCCAUAUUAUAUAUGAUACUUAUAUCUUUAGACCAGUACUGACUAUAUAGGAGGAGUAUUGUCAAGUGUGGCAACCGCCAACCGGACUACUACAGUAGAGUAUUAUAAAGAAUUUUAAUCGUGAAAGAUGGCUGUGGCAAAGGUUCUCACUUCUCACCAUUCAUUCUUUAUAAAUACUGUUAUAAUUCCAUCAUCACUUGUUCAAUUCUCUUCUACAAAGAUACAUAACAAACAAAAGAAAGAAAGAAAAUUCUCUCUGUUUUUUCCACAAGCAAAGAGUACACACACUAGAAAUGACCCCAGCUGCUGUAGUAAUGAGUAACUACGGAGAGGAGGAGAUUGUUCGCCCCAUAGCUGACUUCUCUCCAAGUCUUUGGGGUGAUCGUUUUCAUUCAUUCUCCCUCGACAAUCAGGUAUCUAUCUAUCUAUUCUGUACAUGUCUUUCUUAUUUUCUUGUCCUGUUGGACAUUCAUUUUAAUUUGAUCUUUUUAAAUAUAUUUGCAGAUUGCUGGAAAAUAUGCUCAAGAGAUCGAAACUUUGAAGGAACAAUCAAGAAUUAUAUUAUCUGAAUCUUCUCGAAGAACAUUGGCUGAGAAAUUGGAUCUGAUAGACAUUGUUGAGCGCCUUGGCAUUGCUUAUCAUUUUGAAAAACAAAUAGAUGAUAUGUUGGAUCAAUUUUACAAAGCAGAUCCUAACUUUAAGGCUCACGAGUACAAUGAUUUACAAACUUUAUCCGUUCAAUUUCGACUAUUGAGACAACAUGGUUACAAUAUCUCCCCAAGUAGGUCUAUUCUACACAUGUUUUUCGUUUAUUGUUGUAUUUAUGUUUCUUGCUUACACCAAGGAAUUCUUUUUAUUGUUUUUUUCACUUUUUCUUACUAAAAGCUAAUCUUUUAUUUUUGUUCAUGAUCCAGAACUUUUUAUUAGAUUCCAAGAUGCAAAAGGCAAAUUUAAAGAAUCUCUUUGUAACGACAUCAAGGGUCUUUUGAACUUAUACGAAGCCUCACAUGUAAGGACUCAUGGAGAAGAUAUUUUGGAAGAGGCACUUGCUUUCUCUACUGCUCAUCUUGAAUCUGCAGCUCCACAUUUGAAGUCACCUCUGAGUAAGCAAGUGACACAUGCCCUUGAGCAAUCUCUCCAUAAGAGCAUUCCAAGAGUUGAGACGCGUUACUUCAUCUCUAUCUACGAAGAGGAGGAACAGAAGAAUGAUGUGUUGUUUCGAUUUGCAAAACUGGACUUCAACUUACUUCAGAUGUUGCACAAACAAGAACUCAGUGAAGUAUCAAGGUAUGCUAGUAAUUUAUAUGAAAAAUAAUACUGCUAUUAUUUGUUUAUAGUGACUCUCAAAAUCUGAUAUAUAUGUUGUUACUUACUUUGUAGGUGGUGGAAAGAUUUGGAUUUUGUGACAACCCUUCCAUAUGCUAGGGAUAGAGCAGUCGAAUGUUACUUUUGGACGAUGGGGGUGUAUGCUGAACCUCAAUACUCUCAGGCUCGUGUCAUGCUUGCUAAGACUAUAGCAAUGAUUUCUAUAGUAGAUGACACAUUCGAUGCUUAUGGCAUUGUAAAAGAACUUGAGAUCUACACCGAUGCCAUACAGAGGUAUGGACUACUUCUCAAACCAUUUUAUCAUUUAAUUGGAAGAUCCCAUAAAGGCGGGAAAAGACCAUAUCAAACAACAUAUUUGUGUUCAAUUUUAAUUUUUUGCCUACAUCUGAGACAAGCCAGUUAAUUCAAUAUUAAUCAGUUUAACCAAUUGUGAAGCUUUUUCUCCCAAUUUUUGUUUGUAAUGAAAUUUAUUCUUUGAAGAAGUACGGACGUUUGAAUUUCUUUUGGUUGUUAUCGACAGAUGAAAGAAAUCGUGAGAAACUAUUUUGUGGAAGCAAAAUGGUUCAUUGAAGGAUAUAUGCCGCCAGUCUCUGAGUAUCUUAGCAAUGCAUUAGCUACCAGCACUUAUUACUUGCUUACGACUACAUCUUAUUUGGGCAUGAAGUCUGCUAACAAGGAAGAUUUUGAAUGGUUGGCCAAGAAUCCUAAAAUUCUUGAGGCUAAUGUGACGUUAUGCCGAGUCAUUGAUGACAUAGCCACCUAUGAGGUUGAGAAGGGUAGAGGUCAGAUUGCAACUGGAAUUGAAUGUUACAUGAGAGAUUAUGGUGUAUCCACAGAAGAGGCCAUGGAAAAAUUCCAAGAAAUGGCUGAGACAGCAUGGAAGGAUGUAAAUGAAGGAAUCCUUCGACCAACUCCCGUCUCUACAGAGAUUCUCACUCGCAUUCUCAAUCUUGCUCGCAUUAUCGAUGUCACUUAUAAGCACAAUCAAGAUGGAUACACUCAUCCGGAAAAAGUACUAAAACCUCAUAUUAUUGCGUUGUUGGUGGACUCUAUUGAAAUUUAAAUCAUCGAUUGUUUUGUACAUCUGGGAGCACUUGCUUCCCAUCCCCUAAAAUUAUAAGUAUUUGAUUGAUGCCUUGUUGGUAUCUAUGCUGCUAGCUAAGAUAGGAGUUGCUGGAGAUGCAUGUUAUAGUGCAGUGCAGUUAAUUCCUUAAUUUUUUUUGUAUCAUUAUUGACAUUUUAAAUAUAUAUAUAUAUCACUGCUUUUUAUAGCUACUCUUUUUAGCUAGAGAUUUCAGAUUAAAUCGGUGUCACUUCAGCAGUUGCAACAGAUCCUGAUUAACCGUAAGUAAUGGUGAGUUAAUGUCAAAAUAAGCCCAUGAUAACACAUCAAAAUAUAAAGAGAAGCAAACUCCCAAAUAUAAUGUAAACCUCUUAAAAAUAGUACAAAGUAUCAAUUUCAUACAGGAAGUAAAACAUUAAAAUAGCCAUUAUCUCAAACACAAUUCUACUUAUAAGGCAAUUUGUGAUAAUAUUCCUGCCAUCUUUGAGAAAAAAAAUGAAAAGUUCUUUUCUUGAAAAUUUCUAAUGGCUGCUUUAUGAUGGAGUAAGGACUAGAGAGUAGAAGAAAAGAAGGCAAAAUAUAGUCUUAGUACAUCACUAAUAUAAACAAUGUAGAAGUAGUAUGAGUGGUUGCUUCCUCUAAGAUGUUUUCACCUUAAGUACUCACAUGUACUGAAAGAUUCGUGUAAGCCCAAAUUAAAGCCGAUUGAAGACAUCACUAUUGAAACUCUUUCUUAAUUUUUUACCAUUGCCUUUUCUCAAAAUAUAUGGUUGGGAAUCAACGAGAAGAUAACCCUUACUUGAGCGAAUAACGACCGUAACCUAGGGCCGGCUGCUCUCUCUUCUCUACUGUGAACUAUGUCGCCUUGAAGAAAAUCCAUGAUAGCCGCAUCCUCUCCCCAGCAUAUGGCUGUGGGAGAGCCUAACACCAGUUCUAAUCCAGAAGCAACUUAUGCCGCACGUCUAAAUUCAGUCCAAACUGGACAAAACUUGAAAACAACAAAGCUGAAAUCUAUAGACAUCAUUCAUGGAGAACCUACAAUUACAUUUACAGUGGAGGAGAUAAAUAAAUACUCUAUGGAAGAAGGUCUACAUCAAGCUCUAGUUUUCAAGUUUUCACAGGAUCCAAUCAAUAUGCAAGAGGUACGAAAGUUGUUGCCUAUACAACUAGGAACUCAAGGUCGUUGCCUUGUCGGAUGGCUUGCGCGUCGACAUAUUUUGGUGAGAUUCGAUAGAUAUGAUGAUUAUGUAUUAGCUGCAGCUAAAACUGUUCAGUACCUUUUGUACAAUGGUUUACAAAAGCAAUUUAGAGUAUUUCCAUGGACAAUUGGCUUCAAUCCGAAAGAAGAGACAUCAAGAGCUUUUGUUUGGAUAUCUUUUCCUAAUUUUCCGCCAGAGCUUUUUGCAAAACAAUCAUUACUGUCAAUUGCUUCGGAUGCUGGUAAGCCAAUAGCGAUUGAUAAAGCCACUCAAGAUAAGUCGAGACCUAGCACGGCUAGAGUUAAAGUCGAACUUAAUUUGCUAGCAAAUUUGCCACAUCGAAUGAGAAUUCAAUAUGUCGACCAGAAAACAGGAAAAAGUGUGGAGCAAUUUCAGAAGCUUGUGUAUGAUAAUCUGCCAUUUUAUUGCAACUUUUGUAAGCACCAAGGCCACAACGAAAGUGAAUGUCGACUAUUAUUGGGAAAUAAUGCAGCAAGAAACCAAGAAGAAGCAUCGCAAGUAGGCUCUGAGAUAGAAAAAUAUCAAGAUGAUGCUCGAGAAAUAUUAGAUGAAAAGAGGGCUGAAAAUAAAUCCCUUGUGGUUGAUAAAAGUGGCGUCCACGAUCAGGUAGUUGUGGCACGAGAUUUGGAGUGCCAAAAUAAAGAAAAUUUUGGGCAACUCUUAGGCAAAGCAGUUGCGCACGAAUCAGCUUCAGGGGAUCAAAGUUUAACCACUAGAAAUACUUUGGUCCUAGAGUUGCAACUUGAUUUUGGGCAGCAAUCAAAUAGCAACACUAUUGAAAACAAAAGUGUUACUGGUGCGAGACUUGGCGUUAGAAAUACCAGAGAAAUAAGCAUUAAUAACGAAGGUGGAAAAAUUGGUUUUUUGCAGAUUGAUUCUAAGAGUGUUGAUAAUAUUCAUUCAUCAGGGAAUAAAGUUGGAUCUAUUGAAACAUUGGAGAAAAAAUUGAAUGAAAAUCAACUUUCUUUGACUACAAAUCCUACUUUAGUUCACAUUGAUGAUGAGGGACAAAACAAUCCAGCUACAAUCGUGGCGUCGACAAUAGAUGAUAGGAAUCAACUAAAUGGAACCAGAGGUGAUGUGGUGCUUAUUGGAAAAUCAGGACAUCCAUUGGCAACUAACACAACCGUUGAUUUGGCAUUAGAUCCCGUGAAUGCAAAGGUAGUAGUAGAUGGACCGCAACAUGAUGCUCGGGGUGUUUGAAACUAUUGAAUGCUUGGUUGACAACAUGACGCAGCAGGUCGACAAUGCCAAUAAAAAUUUGAAAGUGAUGUCGAAACUAAUUCAAUUUCAUUGAUGAAUGCCAAGAGCACAGGUGGGGGAGUGGAACUGGUACUUGAAUCUAAUUGGGUUGUGGUGACGAAGAAAAAAUCUCCAAGUAUUGGAAUUGGUUUGCCUAUUAGUAACACAGUGCAACAAGUUGUAGAUAGUCAAACUACGAAUUCAGGUGCUCAAGAAAUUGUUCCACAAGAGGUCAUGUGUUUUAACACUUUUGAUGCUCUUACGAAUAAUUUUGUGCAUGAGAUCAAUUCAUCUCAAGUUAACUCUACAAAUGAAUUAGUUAUUCUAAGGAAAAACAAGGUGCGACAAGUACUUUGAGAUGGAUAGAUAUAGCAGAUGAAGAGGAGGAACAAGUUGCUUCUCCUCCUAUGCAAAAGAAAUUGAGCCCAACAGCUCCUGCUUUUGUGCCUAGUAGUGCCAAGUUAGUAACUCCCCCGCAAGGUUUGUCACCAUCAACAAAUGUUGUUGCAAUCUUAAGUGUAUCGUUUGGUGAGUUCUAAUAUUGAAAAAUUGGCUUCACUUGCACCGAUUAACAUUAACAAACAACUUCAAGUUGGUGGUAGUAGUACUUUGUCCCCAAAUAAGCUUGCUAACCUAUAUGAUGAGGACAUCUCUGAGAAGGGUGAGGAAGGUGAGGAAGAGGAAAUGCUGGAUUAUUGUUUUGCAAUUGCAACUAGGAAUGCAGAUAUUUCUCCUAGGAAACAACGCAACAACAAAACGAAGCAUGAAAGAAAGCAUAGUUGGGAUGGUAAAGUGACUGAGGAAUUUGUUCCAAGGCAACUACCAAUGUGACUCGCAAAGCAAAAUCAUAUGACAAUAUCAACAACUUCAACACGAUUCAAUAAAGCCAAGAAGUGAUGCACUAUCAACUAUUAUUGGACAUAUUUGAAGAAGAAGACAAGAGAAACAUAAUUCAGGUUCCUUUAGAAGGCCAAUCUAUCUUGGUUAGUUCAUACAUUUGUAAAAGGAAGUUUGAGGUUGACAACUCAACUUUCUCCUUGGCCUUUAUGAUUUUUCAUUACUUAAGAAUCCUCACUUGUAAUAUCAUCAUAGAGUGUAUUAUAAACUUUUUGAUGAUCAUAGAAUAUUUAGUUCUCUCUAGCUCGUAUUUUCUUCAUGAUUGUUAAUUAGUAGAAGUUAGGUACCUCAUUAGGAUUGGUAAGGUAAGGUCUAGCCUCCCUUACUUGUACUUAUUCCUAUUGAAUUUUUUUUUUAUGAUUAUUAUUAAUAAAAAGCCACUAGACCACUGUCUAGUGGUAUAAAUUUGCUUUAAAAAAGAAGAAGAGAAGAUAACACUUACUGCAAUGGAUAGGUAAAAAAAUAAAGUAAUGUUUUUUAAUAUCCUCUUUCAAACAUACACGCGGCACUCCAUUGGAGAUGUGAACCACUUAAAAAAAAUUUAUGUCUUUAUUUCUUUAUACUCUUAACUGCACAAUACACUCAAAAGAAAUUUAAAAUUCUAACUUCAUCAAAUAGACCCAGCUACUCCUGUGCAUGUUGGAAAAAAUGUGGAUUGACACAAAAAUAUAUAUGGUCAAAAUAAUUAAGAUAAAAUAAGAAAAUAAUGACGCUAAAAUUUUACGUGGAAAUCAUUAUAAAUAAGGAAAAAAUCACGGACCAAGAGAAGCAACUGAUAUCACUAUAACAAAGAAUUUUGCAUUGUGUAAUCACGAGUACAAUACUCAAAGUGACUACUGUACACUCAAAAGGAAUAAUACUCUUUUGAUUUUCCACCUUACUAAAAAUAUCGCUCACAUUCUAUUUUUCUUCACAGACUAUUUAUCGUUUGAAAACCUCACAAUUUUCUAUAUUUUUCUUUCUUUGUGAUUGUGUUUCUCGACAUUUGUUGUCAACUACAAAUUUGCCAACCAUUGACAAUUUUCUUUCACUGUGAUUGUGUUUCUUGACAUUUGUUGUCAAUUACAAAUUUGUCAACCAUUGACAAUUGCCUGCAUCAAUUGUUGAAAAUCAAUAUAGGAUCUGAACCCCACCGUGCAUAGCGACAUGAUUAUCACAAAUGAAGAAACCUUACCCCUAUACAAGAAUCAGGUUCUUGUACUUUUGUCGAGACAAGCAAAAUGCAACACAAUAAAAUAGAGAUUUUAUCAUGAAAACCUUCCUACCUCAAGGAAGGUAAAAAUCACACCACAAUCUUAUUCACGUCCUUUUCAGGAUUACAACUCAAACGGAACUAACUCUAGUAUCUUUAACUCUCCAAUGAUUAACUAUAAUCGAAGACGCAACUCUCCAAGAAGUUAAACUCGCUUCUUGUUACAAUUCUCUCACAACUCCCUCUUAACUCUAUCCCCCAAGAAGUCAAACUCACUUCUUGUUACAAUUCUCUCAAGACUCUACUCUCCAAGAAGUCAAACCCACUUCUUGUUACAAUUCUCUCAAGACUCUACUCUCCAAGAAGUCAAACCCACUUCUUGUUACAAUUCUCUCAAGACUCUACUCUCCAAGAAGUCAAACCCACUUCUUGUUACAAUUCUCUCAAGACUCUACUCUCCAAGAAGUCAAACCCACUUCUUGUUACAAUUCUCUCAAGACUCUACUCUCCAAGAAGUCAAACCCACUUCUUGUUACAAUUCUCUCAAGACUCUACUCUCCAAGAAGUCAAACCCACUUCUUGUUACAAUUCUCUCAAGACUCUACUCUCCAAGAAGUCAAACCCACUUCUUGUUACAAUUCUCUCAAGACUCUACUCUCCAAGAAGUCAAACCCACUUCUUGUUACAAUUCUCUCAAGACUCUACUCUCCAAGAAGUCAAACCCACUUCUUGUUACAAUUCUCUCAAGACUCUACUCUCCAAGAAGUCAAACCCACUUCUUGUUACAAUUCUCUCAAGACUCUACUCUCCAAGAAGUCAAACCCACAUCUUGUUACACAAUCUAGGAAUUAUUACAACUCAAUAAUAAACCUAGAACAAAUCAAUAAAGACUAAUAACUCUAGACUUUAAUUGAUCAGACUUCAACAAUCAAUAGUUCAGACUUGAACACAACUAGUGAACUUGGUCCUCGUAUUAUUGUGACGAAGCGUGAACCUGGUCCUCGUGUUGCUGUGACGAAGCCCUGCAGUUUUGCUCCAAUGACUAUUGCUCUCAAGAUGAUGAAUUUUGUGAAUAUGCAAUAGACAUCGUUCUGGCUUUGCUGGAAAAUUCUCUCAAUUUGUGUUUAUGCAAAGACGACUCUUUUCCCUCUUUGGCUUGAACCUUUUAUAGAGUUUGAUUUGCGUUCAUCAACUUCUACAAGGAAAGGAAUAACAAAUCAUUUUCCUUCUUGAACUUGUCUAUAUUUACUUCUUAAUUGCUACUUCUUUAUUUUUUUCCUUCUUUAUUUUUUCCUUAUUUGUUUCUUUCCUUCUUUGCUCCUGUGUUUCAGGUCUUUCUUUAUUUCCUUGUUCGCUCCUUUAUUUCUGUACUUUUUCUUUUUUGCCGCAAUCUCUCAUAUUUGUACAGAUUGACUGUAAUCACAUGUGAGAAUCUGAUUCACCUGAUAGAGUACACAUAAGACAACAAGUAGUGAACCAUGUUCACUUUAUCAAUCAUCAAACCUAAUUUAUAUGUUCUCCUACUUGCCAACAACAAAUAAAACAUAAUUUCUUGUAGUUAAAAAAUCCAAAGGAUCGAAGACGCCACGCACUGAAGGAAAAUCAGAGGACUCAAGGAAUAUAAAAUUAGAAGAAAAUGCAUACAACACAUAAUAUAGUCAAGUAAGGAUGAUGGGAAAAAAAUUAGUCAAGGAUGUCAGCUUGCAUUCAGUAACAGGAAUUUGGAAAACGUGAAAGACGCCCUUAUUCAUUAGUUGAUUUAAUUUAAAGUAGAAAAAAAAGGCAUGCUGUUCACAAGAAUUAAGAUGAGAUAGUGAUAAUAUAAAUCCAAAAAAAAAACAUUUUGCCAUAUCAUAAUACUAUAUCUAUACAUGGGCGGAGCUACAGUCAAAUAAGGAUGAUCAGCCGAAUACCCUUUAUCGAAAAAUUAUACAGUUAUAUAGGUAAAAUAUUAUCUAAUAUCUGGAUAUAUAAUAAAUUGAACACUCUCCCAUAUCUUCUAUUCUUCUUUAGGUUUUAGCCUUAAAUUUUGAUUAACCUAAUAAUUAAUCUUAAAAUUUGAUUAACUUAAUAAUUAAGAUUUAUUUUUAUAUUUUCGAUCUAUAUUAAGUGAAUUAUUAGAUUUAAAACACUCUCAAGAAAAAUACUCAAGAAAUUGUGAAUAUUUUAGCCAAAUGAAAUAGUAAAAAAGACUUAUUUAUAAUGAAAUGUUAUGAGUAGUAGAAAAUACUCAAUUAAAAAAUAGAUAUUAGAAAUAGUAGAAAAAACUCAAUUUAUUAUGAGAUGUUAGGAGUAGUAGAAAAGACCCAAUUUAUAUAUGAGAUAUUUUUAUUUUUUUAAACAAAAUUAUUGUACUAUUUAAUUAAUUAGAUUAUGUAUAAUAUUUUGAUUUAGUGUAGGAAUAAAAUGAUAGCAUUUUAGUGCUUUCCACUUUUAGUAUAAAAUAUGAUAUGAUGAUAACAUUUAUAUAUAUAUAUAUAUAUAUUAAGAUGAGUAAUCAUAUGUACUAAAGCUUCAUGUAAGUAGAUGUGGAUCGGAGAAUUAAAUUAAUGAAUUCAAGCUUUUAAGAUUUUCAGUGUCGAAAUUAUUACACUGUUAAAUUAUUAGUUCUAAUCUAAUACCUGAUAAGAUUUUAAUAAGUUAUUAUAAUGAAAGUUACGUCACGUCCGUAUUUUAGUAUUUUUGUUAGUAACAAUAAUAUUAGUGUUCUUGCAAUAGACAGUUAAGAAAUUAAAUAAAAGAUAAGCUUUGAUAAUAUUUACUUUCAGCGUGUGCUUUCUCAAACAUGCAUGCGGCACGCCACGGUACUAAGGACAGAGAGAUAGGAGUGCAAGGGUGUUUAUCUUAAUAUUAAAAAUUACAAUGAAUAUAUAAACAUUAUAUUUUGAAUCUCACUUUAACUAAAAAAAUAUUUUAAAUCUCUUUAAUGAAAAUCUUAACUCUUUCAUAGUACACUCUAAAAAGGAUGGUUGUUGAUACGCGGGAUAAUGUGGGAUAUUUAAAUUUGGAAUUAAAUUAAUUUAUAUUGUAUUUAAUUGACAUUAUAAAUUUAUCCCUGAAUAUCAGACCUUACCCAAUGCAUAGGUAAGUAAAGAACACAAAGUAAAACAUUGUUUUAUGAAGUAAAAAAAUCCGGAGGAAGACGAAAUGCACUGUAAGGAAAAAUAAAUGACACAUCACACAAGGAAUAUAAAAUUAGUAGAAAAGGCAUACAUUAUAAAUAGUAGUAGUUGUCUUAGAUAGCAAAUAUAUUACAUAUAGUCAAGUAAGUAUCAUGAGGAAAAAAAUAGUCAAGGAUGACAGCAUUAAAAGGCAUGGUGUUUACAAGAAUUUAGAUAAAAGUAGUAACAAAUUGUAGGCUGCAAGUAUAUACAAGUUUUACCAAAAAAAGAGAAAAAAUGUGUUGCCAUAUUCUAUAUGAUAUGAUAUAUCUUUAGACUAUAUAGGAGGAGUAUUGUCAAGUGUGGCAACCGCCAACCGGACUACUAUAGUAUAGUAUUAUAAAGAAUUUUAAUCGUACGUGAAAGAUGGCUGUCUCACAAUUCAUUCGUUAUAAAUACUCAUUUCUUUCUCUUACAAUUCCAUCAUCACUUGUUCAGUUCUCUACUACAAAUACAUUAUACAAAGAAAGGAAAUUCUCUCUGUUUUUCCACAAGCAAAGAGUAUACUAUAAAUGGCCUCAGCUGCUGCAGUAAUGAAUAACUACGGAGAGGAGGACAUUGUUCGACCUGUUGCUGACUUCUCUCCAAGUCUUUGGGGUGAUCGUUUCCAUUCGUUCUCCCUCGACAAUCAGGUAUCUAUUUAUUUUGUACAAGUCUNNNNNNNNNNNNNNNNNNNNNNNNNNNNNNNNNNNNNNNNNNNNNNNNNNNNNNNNNNNNNNNNNNNNNNNNNNNNNNNNNNNNNNNNNNNNNNNNNNNNNNNNNNNNNNNNNNNNNNNNNNNNNNNNNNNNNNNNNNNNNNNNNNNNNNNNNNNNNNNNNNNNNNNNNNNNNNNNNNNNNNNNNNNNNNNNNNNNNNNNNNNNNNNNNNNNNNNNNNNNNNNNNNNNNNNNNNNNNNNNNNNNNNNNNNNNNNNNNNNNNNNNNNNNNNNNNNNNNNNNNNNNNNNNNNNNNNNNNNNNNNNNNNNNNNNNNNNNNNNNNNNNNNNNNNNNNNNNNNNNNNNNNNNNNNNNNNNNNNNNNNNNNNNNNNNNNNNNNNNNNNNNNNNNNNNNNNNNNNNNNNNNNNNNNNNNNNNNNNNNNNNNNNNNNNNNNNNNNNNNNNNNNNNNNNNNNNNNNNNNNNNNNNNNNNNNNNNNNNNNNNNNNNNNNNNNNNNNNNNNNNNNNNNNNNNNNNNNNNNNNNNNNNNNNNNNNNNNNNNNNNNNNNNNNNNNNNNNNNNNNNNNNNNNNNNNNNNNNNNNNNNNNNNNNNNNNNNNNNNNNNNNNNNNNNNNNNNNNNNNNNNNNNNNNNNNNNNNNNNNNNNNNNNNNNNNNNNNNNNNNNNNNNNNNNNNNNNNNNNNNNNNNNNNNNNNNNNNNNNNNNNNNNNNNNNNNNNNNNNNNNNNNNNNNNNNNNNNNNNNNNNNNNNNNNNNNNNNNNNNNNNNNNNNNNNNNNNNNNNNNNNNNNNNNNNNNNNNNNNNNNNNNNNNNNNNNNNNNNNNNNNNNNNNNNNNNNNNNNNNNNNNNNNNNNNNNNNNNNNNNNNNNNNNNNNNNNNNNNNNNNNNNNNNNNNNNNNNNNNNNNNNNNNNNNNNNNNNNNNNNNNNNNNNNNNNNNNNNNNNNNNNNNNNNNNNNNNNNNNNNNNNNNNNNNNNNNNNNNNNNNNNUAAGAAUGAUGUGUUGCUUCGAUUUGCAAAACUGGACUUCAACUUACUUCAGAUGUUGCACAAACAAGAACUUAGUGAAGUAUCAAGGUAUGCUAGUAAUUUACAUGAAAAAUAAUACUGCUAUUAUUUGUUUAUAGUGACUCAAAAUCUGAUAUAUAUGUUGUUACUUACUUUGUAGGUGGUGGAAAGAUUUGGAUUUUGUGACAACACUUCCAUAUGCUAGGGAUAGAGCAGUGGAAUGUUACUUUUGGACGAUGGGAGUGUAUGCUGAACCUCAAUACUCUCAGGCUCGUGUCAUGCUUGCUAAGACUAUAGCAAUGAUUUCUAUAGUAGAUGACACAUUUGAUGCUUAUGGCAUUGUAAAAGAACUUGAGAUCUACACCGAUGCCAUACAGAGGUAUGGACUACUUCUCAAACCAUUUUAUCAUUUAUUUGGAAGAUCCCAUAAAGGUGGGAAAAGAGCAUAUCAAACAACAUAUUUGUGUUCAAUUUUAAUUUUUUGCCUACAAUUUAUUAUCUGAGACAAGCCUAGGAGUCAAACACUAGAUAUUUCUGCUUCUUCGUAUGAUAUAUGUUCUGUUAAAUUGAUAUACUUAUCAAAUUCAUUUCUUUUUCAUUUAUUAGGUGGGAUAUUAACCAAAUUGAUCGGCUCCCUGAUUACAUGAAAAUCAGUUACAAAGCACUUUUAGAUCUCUACAAUGAUUAUGAAAUGGAGUUGUCCAAGGAUGGUAGAUCUGAUGUUGUUCACUACGCGAAAGAAAGAGUAUGAAUCGUGACUUUCUCCUUCGUUUUUGAUUAAAAUGAAAUUUGUUCUUCAAAUAUGGAUUGAUGGUUGAAUGUAUUGGCUUGUUGUUGACAGAUGAAAGAAAUCGUGAGAAACUAUUUUGUGGAAGCAAAAUGGUUCAUUGAAGGAUAUAUGCCGCCAGUCUCUGAGUAUCUUAGCAAUGCAUUAGCUACCAGCACUUAUUACUUGCUUACGACUACAUCUUAUUUGGGCAUGAAGUCUGCUAACAAGGAAGAUUUUGAAUGGUUGGCCAAGAAUCCUAAAAUUCUUGAGGCUAAUGUGACGUUAUGCCGAGUCAUUGAUGACAUAGCCACCUAUGAGGUUGAGAAGGGUAGAGGUCAGAUUGCAACUGGAAUUGAAUGUUACAUGAGAGAUUAUGGUGUAUCCACAGAAGAGGCCAUGGAAAAAUUCCAAGAAAUGGCUGAGACAGCAUGGAAGGAUGUAAAUGAAGGAAUCCUUCGACCAACUCCCGUCUCUACAGAGAUUCUCACUCGCAUUCUCAAUCUUGCUCGCAUUAUCGAUGUCACUUAUAAGCACAAUCAAGAUGGAUACACUCAUCCGGAAAAAGUACUAAAACCUCAUAUUAUUGCGUUGUUGGUGGACUCUAUUGAAAUUUAAAUCAUCGAUUGUUUUGUACAUCUGGGAGCACUUGCUUCCCAUCCCCUAAAAUUAUAAGUAUUUGAUUGAUGCCUUGUUGGUAUCUAUGCUGCUAGCUAAGAUAGGAGUUGCUGGAGAUGCAUGUUAUAGUGCAGUGCAGUUAAUUCCUUAAUUUUUUUUGUAUCAUUAUUGACAUUUUAAAUAUAUAUAUCACUGCUUUUUAUAGCUACUCUUUUUAGCUAGAGAUUUCUGAAAGCUUCAUAGCUCAAGCUUAAACACCAUAGCUAGAAGAGAGGAAGAAGAGAGAGUUGUAUUGAUUGUAUAAUGUGACUUGAUACAAUGUAUCCGUACAUAGGGUAUAUUUAUACUACAAGUAAAUGCAGUAACUAACUCAUGCUAACAGUGCAUCUUUCUAACUAACUUUUAACUCGUUAGUUAACUAACUCAACCAUAUAGCUUGCUUAACUAUUUACACUAGUUAACACUCUUCCUCAAGCUUAUGGUUGAAAUACAUUUGCCAUUCCAAGUCUACUCAUUAACAAGUUGUGUUGUUCCUUUCCCAGCCCUUUAGUCAGCAAAUUAGCUAGUUGAUGUUUGGUGUUGAUGUGUUCUAUUUUAAGCAUUCCUUGAUAAAUUCUUUCCCUCACAAAGUGACAAUCAAUAUCUAUGUGUUUGGUUCUUUCAUGGAAUAUUGGAUUGGCAGCUAUUUGAAUAGCUGCUUUACUGUCACACAUCAUAUGUACAGGUAGAUUCAUACACUCCCAACUCCUUGUAUAGGCCCAACAACCAAGUGAUUUCUGCUGCACAAGUGGCCAUACUUCUGAACUCUGCCUCAGCUGAACCUCUUGACACUGUUUCUUGCUUCUUGGAUUUUCCAAGACACUAAAGCAUCUCCAAAUUUUACCAAAUAUCCUAUGACUGAUCUCCUGGUCUCCACACAUGCUCCCCAAUCAGAAUCACAGUAAGCAGUUAGUUGUGUAGUCUGUUUGGCUGGCAUUAAUAGUCCUGAACCAGGAACCUCUUUGAUGUAUCUCACCACUCUUAGAGCAGCCUCCAUAUGGGACUGUUUAGGUUGGUGCAUGAACUGGCUUAACACUUGUACAGUGAAGGCAAAGAUCUGGUCUUGUCAUAGUGAGGUAGAGUAGUCUUCCUACUAGUCUUUGAUACUCUGCAGGAUUUUUAAGUAGAUCAUCACAUUUAGCCCCUGUGUUAUCUGCAUGUUCAUCAUACUUAACAGAGGUGAGUUUUUGAUUCAUUUCUAGUGGUGUAUAGGCAGGUUUGGCUCCUCCUAGACCAGAUUCAGAAAUGAGCUCCAAAGCAUACUUCUUUUGUGUCAUCAGAAUACCCCUGCUGGAUCGAGAGAAAUCAAUACCUAGGAAGAAUUUGAGUUCUCCGAGAUCCUUCAUCUUGAAUGUACUUUGGAUGUCCUUCCUAGUGCUGCAUAACUGUUAAGGACUGCUACCAGUGAUUAGAAGAUCAUCCACAUAUACGAGUACUAUAACAAUGUCACCAUCAGCCUGUUUAGUAAAGAGUGAGUAGUCAAAAUGACUUUGUGUGAACCCCAUCUGCACCAAUGCCUCAGUAAGCUUUAAGUUCCAUUGUCUAGGUGCUUGUUUCAGACCAUACAAAGACUUGUGUAGUUUACAUACCUUCCUGCUCUCCCCUUUGUGGGCAAAACCACUAGGAAUUUCCAUAUAGACCUCUUCAUUUAGAUCACCAUUAAGAAAAGCAUUGUGUACAUCUAUCUGAUAAAUGUACCAACCUUUAGAAGCAGCCAAAGCAACCACAGACCUCACAGUAACCAUCUUGGCUACUGGACUGAAGGUUUCACCAUAAUCAAGACCCUCCCUCUGACUGAACCCCUUAGCAACAAGUCGUGCUUUGAAUCUUUCUAGUUCUCCUGAAGCUAAGAAUUUGAUCUUAUAAAUCCACCUGCACCCAAUAGGUAUUUUACCAGGAGGGAGGUCAACUAUACUCCAAGUAUUAUUAGUUUCUAGAGCUGCAAUCUCCAAAUCCAUAGCUUUUACCCAAGCAGGAUUUGCAGCAGCCUCUUGGAAAGAUGCAGGCUCAGAAAUAAAAGAAUAAGCAUGCAAAACAUGUCUAUAAAAUGGAGAUAAAUGAGAGUAAGUGAGAUGAGCUGCUAGUGGAUAUAGACAAGUAUUGGUUGUGGGCUUAGUUACAAAGUCCUGCAGCCAUAGAGGUGGUCUACUUGGUCUGUCUGAUCUUCUUGAAGACACAUCAGGAAUCAGAGACUGAAUAACUGGGACAGGAGAUGUUGCAGGAGGUGGUAUUGGAAUAAGUUGAGAGGAUACUUCAGGAAUGUCUAGGAGAGACUCAGAAGAAGGGACUACUGACUCAGAUGAACACACAUCAACAAAUGGUACAAUAUCAAAGAUUGGAAAUAUAGGUUCUGAGGAGGCCUGCAUGUUCUUAAAAGGAAUAAUUCUUCAUGAAACACCACAUGCCUGUUUACAAAGAAACCAUGAGCAUGAAUGUCAUAUAAGAUAUACCCUUUUUGUGUGGAUGAAUAUCCCAUGAACACUGCAGGAAUAGCCCUGGAAGAGAAUUUAUCAACUGGUUUAGGGGUAGCAGCAUAGCACAGUCACCCAAAAAUCUUCAAGUGGGAUAAGGAUGGGGAAUGGUGAUAAAGUGUUUCAUAUGGAGACUUGUAGGAGAGGACUCUAGAAGGAAGCCUAUUUAGGAUAUACACAGCAGUAGAGACACAGUGACCCAGAACUUGAGUGGUAUUGAAGCUUGAAACCUAAGUGAUCUGGCCAUGGCAAGGAUUGUUCUAUGCUUCCUUUCAGCUACACCAUUUUGUUGUGGUGUAUAAACACAAGUACUCUGAUAGGCAAUGCCAAGGUCACUUAAUAAUGUCUGAACCUCACCACUGAAGAAUUCACAGCCAUUAUCAGUCCUUAGAGUUUUCACAGUGGUGGAGAAUACAUUCUGAACCUGCCUCAGAAAGUGUUUGAGUACUAUUAUAGUGUCAGCUUUAGAUGCAAUUAAAAACAUCCAAGUAUAUCUGCUAAAAUCAUCCACAAUUGUCACAAAAAACCUCUUGCCAUUAUAUGUAGGAACUCUACAAGGUCCCCAAAGAUCACAAUGCAACAAGUCAAAUACAUGUUUUGUCAUAUGAGUGCUUGAAGGAAAAUGAAGUUUAGUAUGUCUAGCUAGAGGACAAAUAGUACAUGGAAUUUGAUCAGUACUCUUUAAAGUCUUGAGACACCCAUGCCUCUUUAUUACAUCAAUAGGUGUAUGACCAAGUCUUUUGUGCCAUAUACUACUGGACUCAGACUGAGUAACAGAAUUAACAGACUUAGGUAACUGAAUAUGUUUACUACUAUUGACCAGCUUAUUUGGAGCUUGACUUGGGCCCUCUUGUAGUAUGUAUAAGCCAUGUUCCUCCUUACCAAUCCCCUUCACCAGACCAGUGGAGAGGUACUGGAAAAGACAAAAGUCAGGGGAAAAAACAAACCAUACACUGUAACUCUCUUGUGAUCUUUGAUACUGACAACAAGUUAAACUUGAAGUCAGGGAGAAAUAACACAUUGGAGAUAGACUGAUUAGCUAACACACAAGUGCUUCCAAUGUGAGAAACUGCUGCAACUUUACCAUUAGGUAAAUGUACCUUACUGUCUCUUUAAGCAUGAACUUCCCUAGCUUUAUCUAGGAGGCCAAGGUCAGAUGUGAUAUGAUGAGAGGCUCCGGUAUCAAUUAUCCACUGUUUAUGGCAUAAUUACAUGAUAAAGUAUAGGAGCCAAACCUGCAUCAUCAGUAGUGGCAAUGUUUGCAGAAGGCUGAACUGUUGUGUUCUCAUCACCAUGUCUGGAAAGGAGUUGGAGAAUCUGUUGAUAUUGAGCAGAAGUGAAAAAAGCUCCGGUGUGUGGACCUGCUUCUGAAGUAUUUUUUCCUUUGUUGUUGCAUCCUAUGGUCUCUUGUCCAAGAUUAGGAGGAAUAUCCAUCUGAUUAGCAUACAUUCCAGUGUUCAGAGGUUUCCUCUUGGACUUGAAAUCUGCAGGAUAUCCAACUAUUUUGUAGCACUGCUCCCUAGAAUGUCCCUUGCACCCACAGUGUUCACAUUGUAGAAAAUUAUUUCUAUUCUUGUAGCUUCCUCCUGAAGAACUAGUACUGUGGAUGUAUCCUCCACCAUGAUCACCAGCUCUUGAGAAUGAACUGGUGAAGUGUACUUUUGAUGAUCCUGCUCCAUUGUUGUAAGUGUGAUUUCUCUGAGUGUACAUUGUUGUGCCUUAUAUAAUUCAUGACCCACUCGAACUAUUGCUUGCCAGACUUCUCUGACUCUCUUGAUCAAUCAGCAUUGCAUAGGCUUUGUUUAGGGAAGGAAUUGGACUCAUCAUUAAGAUCUGACUUCUAGGAGGGGAAUAUGACUCAUUUAGCCCCAUUAGAAACUGCAGAAGCCUUUGAUAGUCACAGUGUUCACCAAAAUUUUUGGACUCUGGACAUGGACAACUUGGACAUGGCAUGAUAGCAUCAUACUCAUCCCAGAGGUCUCUUAGUUUUGAAUGAUAGUCAGCAAUUGACAUUGUACCCUGAGUGAGAGAGUGAAUCUCCCUAUGUAACUGAAAUAUUCUGGAUCCAUUCACAGUGUCAAACCUUUCUCUUAGAUCUAGCCACACCUUUCUAGCAUCAGAAGCAUACACUACAGAACUAAGAAGACCAGGUCUUACUGCAUUCAUAAUCCAGCUUAAAACUACUGCAUUACACUUUUCCCACUGAUCAUGUAGCUCAGGCUCAAACAUAGACUUAGGGAAUCUUCCAUCUACAAAUCCUAGUUUACUUCGACCUACUAGACCAAUUCGAAAUGACCUACCCCACAAGCCAUAGUUCUCUGAUCUUGUUAAUUGCAGAGAGAUUAGAGAACUACCUGGAGUUUCUGUAUGUUGAAGAAACAGAGAAUGAUUGUGAUCAAUGACAGGAAAUGUAGUUGUGCUGGUUGUGCGAGAACCACUUCCAGUUCUGGUGGCUUGAAUCUCAGCUCCUUCCAUUGUACCUCCAGUCAUGAGAUCCUAAAGUUUUCUUCUUAUUCAGCUGUUUUUGGGAAGGUGAUAUCGAAGUACCUAGGUAUUCUCUAUGAUCGUGGGCUCUGAUACCAUGAAAGCUUCAUAGCUCAAGCUUAAACACCAUAGCUAGAAGAGAGGAAGAAGAGAGAGUUGUAUUGAUUGUAUAAUGUGACUUGAUACAAUGUAUCUGUACAUAGGGUAUAUUUAUACUACAAGUAAAUGCAGUAACUAACUCAUGCUAACAGUGCAUCUUUCUAACUAACUUCUAACUCAUUGGUUAACUAACUCAACCAUAUAGCUUGCUUAACUAUUUACACUAGUUAACAAUUUCAGAUAAAAUCGGUGUCACUUCAGCAGAUCCUGAUUAACCGUGAGGAAUGGUGAGUUAAUAUCAAAAUAAGCCAAUGAUAACACAUCAAAAUAUAAAAGCAAACUCACAAAUAUAAUAAACCUCUUAAAAAUAGUACGAAGUAUCAAUUUCAUACAGGAAGUAAAACAUUAAAAUCGCCAUAAUCUCAAACACAAUUCUACUUAUAAGGCAAAAUGUGAUAAUAUUCCUGCCAUCUUUGAGAAAAAAAAUGAAAAGUUCUUUUCUUGAAAAUUUCUAAUGGCUGCUUUAUGAUGGAGUAAGGACUAGAGAGUAAUAGUAGUAUGAGUGGUCAUAUUACACUGAUCUUCAGUGGGUGUUUACACCAGAUUAUAAUGCCUCUCAAACACUGCUGUCUGGCGGACAGUCCUCAACGACUCUUCGUAAGGUCUAGCUGAUCGAACUAUCAGAAAAUCCAGAGUCAGCUAAUGAUUUUAACAUCAUCAUACAUGCAACAAUAAACUGUUGCCUUUCAUGCUUAUAAUUACAUUGAAACGUAACCGUAUAUGUUAAUAAUUUCCAUAAAACAUAAUGUUUACAAUUUAAUAAGAUGAGUGGUUGCUUCCUCUCUAAGAUGUUUUCACCUUAAGUACUCACAUGUACUGAAAGAUUCGUGUAAGCCCAAAUUAAAACCGAUUGAAGACAUCACUAUUGAAACUCUUUCUUAAUUUUUUACCAUUGCCUUUUCUCAAAAUCUUAAAGUUUGAUUAACUUAAUAAUUAAGAUUUAUUUUUAUAUUUUCGAUCUCUAUUAAGUGAAUUAUUAGAUAUAAAACACUCUCAAGAAAACUACUAAAGAAAUUGUGAAUAUUUUAACCAAAUGAAAUAGUAAAAAAGACUUAUUUAUAAUGAAAUGUUAUGAGUAGUAGAAAAGACUCAAUUAAAAAAUAGAUAUUAGGAAUAGUAGAAAAGACUCAAUUUAUUAUGAGAUGUUAGGAGUAGUAGAAAAGACCCAAUUUAUAUAUGAGAUAUUUUUAUUUUUUUAAACAAAAUUAUUGUACUAUUUAAUUAAUUAGAUUAUGUAUAAUAUUUUGAUUUAGUGUAGGAAUAAAAUGAUAGCAUUUUAGUGCUUUUCACUUUUAGUAUAAAAUAUGAUAUGAUGAUUAACAUUUAUAUAUAUACUAGUAAAGAAAGCCCGGGCGCUGCUCGGGCCCAACAUUAAUAAAGUUAUAUUAUUACUCUCUCCGUCCCAUAUUAGAUGAGAAUCUUACUAAAAAUAUUAUUUUCAUAUUAUUUGAGCACUUAUUAAAUUAGGAUAAAAUUAAUUAAUUCUUUUCCAUUUUACCCCUACAAUUAAUAUGACCAUUCCUAUAUUGUAUGUGUAUUUUUUGUAACUCAUUUCAAUGUGCAUUGAUAUAAACAAAGGGCAAAAUGGUGAAGUCUUCCAAUGUAUUAAUGAUUUCUUAAUCACCGUGUAAAGUUGGAAGUGUCCAUCUAAUAUGGGACGGAGGGAGUAUAGUUUAUGUAUUGUUAUAAAAUCAGUAAAGAUUGUUAUAAUAUAUUUUGCUCAUAAGUGAGCUAUUAUAGAAACUUAUUUGUGAUUUGUCUUUUUAAUUUCAAUUUUAAAUAGCAAAUAAAUGUAGCGAUAAGAUUGAGGGUAGAAAUGAAGCAUAUCUUUCUAAAUUUAAGUAAAAAUAAACAGAGUAGAAGUAACAUUAGGGUUAUCGAUAGGACGAUUCAUUCGGUUAUUUUAAAAAAAAUUAUAUCAUUCAAUUUUUCGGCUAUUUUAUAAUGUAUAACCAAAAUUAAAAUUUUAAAAUCAUCCCAAUCCUAAUAUAUGUGACACAAGCAGUACAAAAAUUAGUCUUUUUUUUGUUGUCUUGUAGAUAUUUUAAGUUAUUAUUUAUUGUAAAUUAUAGUACUUUUUAUUAAAGUUUUUAAUAACAUAUGUUACUUUUUAUGUUUGAGAGUUAAACCAACUUUUUUUAUAUGUCUUUUAAUCUUAUAUGUGUUUUGUCCUUUUCCAUUUUCAAAAAUUAAUACUCUCUCUAUUUUAUUUUAUAUGUCAUUUCUUUUUAUAAAUAUAUUGGUUAUUCCCUCUUCUUAUUGGAACACAUGUUGACUUGUGGUGAAUACUUAUUCCCUCUUCUUAUAUAGUAAUAUAUAUUAAGAUGAGUAAUCAUAUGUACUAAAGCUUCAUGUAAGUAGAGGUGGAUCGGAGAAUUAAAUUAAUGAAUUCAAGCUUUUAAAAUUUUCAGUGUCGAAAUUAUUACACUGUUAAAUUAUUAGUUCUAAUCUAAUACCUGAUAAGAUUUUAAUAAGUUAUUAUAAUGAAAGUUACGUCCGUAUUUUAGAUUUUUGUUAGUAACAAUAAUAUUAGUGUUCUUGCAAUAGACAGUUAAGAAAUUAAAUUAAGAUAAGCUUUGAUAAUAUUUACUUUCAGCGUGUGCUUUCUCAAACAUGCAUGCGGCACUCCACAGUACCAAGGACAGAGAGAUAGGAGUGCAAGGGUGUUUAUCUUAAUAUUAAAAAUUACAAUGAAUAUAUAAACAUUAUAUUUUGAAUCUCACUUUAAUUAAAAAAAUAUUUUAAAUUUCUUUAAUGAAAAUCUUGACUCUUUUCACAGUACACUCUAAAAAGGAUGGUUGUUUGGUACGCGGGAUAAUGUGGGAUAUUUAAAUUUGGGAUUAAAUUAAUUUAUAUUGUAUUUAGUUGACGUUAUAAAUUUAUCCCUGAAUAUCAGACCCUUACCCAAUCAAACUUAUAAUUAUUUUAUGGAUAAACUAGUACAUGAAUUAUAAUUGCGAAAUAACUUGGUCCGUGUACUAAUCGAAUAGCAAGUUCAUCAAAGUAGACCCUGCUACUCCAAUGCAUAGGUAUGUAAAGAAGACAAAGUAAAACAUUGUUUUAUGAAGUAAAAAAAUCCGGAGGAAGACGAAAUGCACUGUAAGGAAAAAUAAAUGACACAUCACACAAGGAAUAUAAAAUUAGUAGAAAAGGCAUACAUUAUAAAUAGUAGUAGUUGUCUUAGAUAGCAAAUAUAUUACAUAUAGUCAAGUAAGUAUCAUGAGGAAAAAAAUAGUCAAGGAUGACAGCAUUAAAAGGCAUGGUGUUUACAAGAAUUUAAAUAAAAGUAGUAACAAAUUGUAGGCUGCAAGUUUUACCAAAAAAAGAGAAAAAAUGUGUUGCCAUAUUAGAUAUGUCUUUAGACUAGAUAGGAGGAGUAUUGUCAAGUGUGGCAACCGCUACUAUAGUAUAGUAUUAUAAAGGAUUUUAAUCGUACGUGAAAGAUGGCUGUCUCACAAUUCAUUCGUUAUAAAUACUCAUUUCUUCCUCUUACAAUUCCAUCAUCACUUGUUCAGUUCUCUACUACAAAUACAUUAUACAAAGAAAGGAAAUUCUCUCUGUUUUUCCACAAGCAAAGAGUAUACUAUAAAUGGCCUCAGCUGCUGCAGUAAUGAAUAACUACGGAGAGGAGGACAUUGUUCGACCUGUUGCUGACUUCUCUCCAAGUCUUUGGGGUGAUCGUUUCCAUUCGUUCUCCCUCGACAAUCAGGUAUCUAUUUAUUUUGUACAAGUCUUUCAUUUUCUUUAUCUUGUUGGAUGAAUACGGACAUUCAUUUCUGACUUUGAAUGUAAUGUAACAUACAUUUUAAUUUCUUUUUAAAUAUAUUUGCAGAUUGCUGGAAAAUAUGCUCAAGAGAUCGAUACUUUGAAGGAACAAUCAAGGCUUAUAUUAUCUGCAUCUUAUAUAAGAACAUUGGCUGAGAAAUUGGAUCUGAUAGACAUUGUUGAGCGCCUUGGUAUUGCUUAUCAUUUUGAGAAACAAAUAGACGAUAUGUUGGAUCAAAUUUACAAAGCAGAUCCUAAUUUUGAGGCUCAUGAAUACAAUGAUUUACAAACUUUAUCCGUUCAAUUUCGACUAUUGAGACAACAUGGUUACAAUAUCUCCCCAAGUAGGUCUAUUAUACACAUGUUUUUCGUUUAUUGUUAUAUUUAUGUUUCUAGCUUAAACCAAGGAAUUUUUUAUUAUCUUUUUCACUUUUACUUACUAAAAGUUAAUCUUUUAUUUUUGUUCAUGAUCCAGAACUUUUUAGCAGAUUCCAAGAUGCAAAAGGCAAAUUUAACGAAUCUCUUAGUAACGACAUCAAGGGUCUUUUGAACUUAUACGAAGCCUCACAUGUAAGGACUCAUGGAGAAGAUAUUUUGGAAGAGGCACUUGCUUUCUCUACUGCUCAUCUUGAAUCUGCAGCUCCACAUUUGAAGUCACCUCUGAGUAAGCAAGUCACACAUGCCCUUGAGCAAUCUCUCCAUAAGAGCAUUCCAAGAGUUGAGACACGAUACUUCAUCUCUAUCUACGAAGAGGAGGAACAGAAGAAUGAUGUGCUGCUUCGAUUUGCCAAACUGGACUUCAACUUACUUCAAAUGUUGCACAAACAAGAACUAAGCGAAGUAUCAAGGUACACUAAUAAUUUACAUUAACAAUAUAAAUUACUUGUUACUCGAUAAUAAUUUCUCAAAUCAAUUCUAAAUUUUUAAGAUUGAUUCUUAUUUUAUAGGUGGUGGAAAGAUUUGGAUUUUGUGACAACACUUUCAUAUGCUAGGGAUAGAGCAGUGGAAUGUUACUUUUGGACGAUGGGGGUGUAUGCUGAACCUCAAUACUCUCAGGCUCGUGUCAUGCUUGCUAAGACUAUAGCAAUGAUUUCUAUAGUAGAUGACACAUUCGAUGCUUAUGGCAUUGUAAAAGAACUUGAGAUCUACACCGAUGCCAUACAGAGGUAUGGACUACUUCUCAAACCAUUUUAUCAUUUAAUUGGAAGACCCCAUAAAGGCGGGAAAAGACCAUAUCAAACAACAUAUUUGUGUUCAAUUUCAUAUAUUCCCNNNNNNNNNNNNNNNNNNNNNNNNNNNNNNNNNNNNNNNNNNNNNNNNNNNNNNNNNNNNNNNNNNNNNNNNNNNNNNNNNNNNNNNNNNNNNNNNNNNNNNNNNNNNNNNNNNNNNNNNNNNNNNNNNNNNNNNNNNNNNNNNNNNNNNNNNNNNNNNNNNNNNNNNNNNNNNNNNNNNNNNNNNNNNNNAACCAAUUGUGAAGCUUUUUCUCCCAAUUUUUGUUUGUAAUGAAAUUUAUUCUUUGAAGAAGUACGGACGUUUGAAUUUCUUUUGGUUGUUAUCGACAGAUGAAAGAAAUCGUGAGAAACUAUUUUGUGGAAGCAAAAUGGUUCAUUGAAGGAUAUAUGCCGCCAGUCUCUGAGUAUCUUAGCAAUGCAUUAGCUACCAGCACUUAUUACUUGCUUACGACUACAUCUUAUUUGGGCAUGAAGUCUGCUAACAAGGAAGAUUUUGAAUGGUUGGCCAAGAAUCCUAAAAUUCUUGAGGCUAAUGUGACGUUAUGCCGAGUCAUUGAUGACAUAGCCACCUAUGAGGUUGAGAAGGGUAGAGGUCAGAUUGCAACUGGAAUUGAAUGUUACAUGAGAGAUUAUGGUGUAUCCACAGAAGAGGCCAUGGAAAAAUUCCAAGAAAUGGCUGAGACAGCAUGGAAGGAUGUAAAUGAAGGAAUCCUUCGACCAACUCCCGUCUCUACAGAGAUUCUCACUCGCAUUCUCAAUCUUGCUCGCAUUAUCGAUGUCACUUAUAAGCACAAUCAAGAUGGAUACACUCAUCCGGAAAAAGUACUAAAACCUCAUAUUAUUGCGUUGUUGGUGGACUCUAUUGAAAUUUAAAUCAUCGAUUGUUUUGUACAUCUGGGAGCACUUGCUUCCCAUCCCCUAAAAUUAUAAGUAUUUGAUUGAUGCCUUGUUGGUAUCUAUGCUGCUACCUAAGAUAGGAGUUGCUGGAGAUGCAUGUUAUAGUGCAGUGCAGUUAAUUCCUAAAUUUUUUUUGUAUCAUUAUUGACAUUUUAAAUAUAUAUAUAUAUCACUGCUUUUUAUAGCUACUCUUUUUAGCUAGAGAUUUCAGAUUAAAUCGGUGUCACUUCAGCAGUUGCAACAGAUCCUGAUUAACCGUAAGUAAUGGUGAGUUAAUGUCAAAAUAAGCCCAUGAUAACACAUCAAAAUAUAAAGAGAAGCAAACUCACAAAUAUAAUAAACCUCUUAAAAAUAAUACGAAGUAUCAAUUUCAUACUGGAAGUAAAACAUUAAAAUCGCCAUAAUCUCAAACACAAUUCUACUUAUAAGGCAAAAUGUGAUAAUAUUCCUGCCAUCUUUGAGAAAAAAAUGAAAAGUUCUUUUCUUGAAAAUUUCUAAUGGCUGCUUUAUGAUGGAGUAAGGACUAGAGAGUAGAAGUAGUAUGAGUGGUCAUAUUACACUGAUCUGCAGUGGGUGUUUACACCAGAUUAUAAAGCCUCUCAAACACUGCUGUCUGGCGGACAGUCCUCAACGACCCUUCGUAAGGUCUAGCUGAUCGAACUAUCAGAAAAUCCAGAGUCAGCUAAUGAUUUUAACAUCAUCAUAUAUGCAACAAUAAACUGUUGCCUUUCAUGCUUAUAAUUACAUUGAAACGUAACAGUAUAUGCUAAUAAUUUCCAUAAAACAUAAUGUUUACAAUUUAAUAAGAUGAGUGGUUGCUUCCUCUCUAAGAUGUUUUCACCUUAAGUACUCACAUGUACUGAAAGAUUCGUGUAAGCCCAAAUUAAAACCGAUUGAAGACAUCACUAUUGAAACUCUUUCUUAAUUUUUUACCAUUGCCUUUUCUCAAAAUAUAUGGUUGGGAAUCAACGAGAAGAUUACCCUUACGGCAAGGGAUAAGUGAAAAAAUAAAGUUAUACUUUGCCUCUCUCAGAUAUGCACACCGCCAGAGGCAAAUUCAGGAUUUCAAGAAAACGGGUGUACAAUUACUUUAAAGAUAAGAUCAAAAAAUUUAUAAUAACAAUAACUAAGCGAGCAAAACAUAAAAAAAAUCAUUACCAGUUUACAAUUGUACUCGGCGAGAUUUCAUAUUUUGAAAACGAUCUACUAUCAAUUUUCAAAUAUCUUCCACUCUAUCUUACAAACUAAACAACCAUUCAAAAAAAAUUCACCAAUGCUAUUACGUAGAUCAUUUUGAUGAGCUUCAUUGAGGAGAAUCACAUGUUCAUAAUAAAGAAGAGGAAUCACACCCCUUUCACAUUAAAAAAAUAAGGGAAUCACACCCUUCAAAAUUGAUAAUAUAAUAUAAAACACAUUCCUUACAAGUUACAUCCGCAAAAUAUGUAAGUUUGUGAUAAUCAAUUCAUUAGCUCUUGAUGAGUUCCUAUUAUAAGUAAUGGCAAGAUUAUUUUUUAUGGAAACCUUUAAUUAAAGUGACAUAUUUUUAAAAAAAAAUGAUUUUGUUAGUUUGUUUAUUAAAAAGAGAAAUCAUAAACUAAAAAAAAUUAGUUUAAACUUUCAGAAUUUAGAUUCUUCUUUUUUCAAGCGAAUUGUGACUGACUGGAAUCAAACUUGGGACCUUGGAAUUGAUAUCAAGCUGUCAAACCAGUGAACCAUCCAGCCAUUUUGAGAAAGGAUUCCACAGGUUUUGAUUUAAUAUAUUCUUUAAUAAUUAUACAAAGCCGGAUGACCACGGAUUCCAAUGACCCAAUUUUAAUACAUAAAUUCGCCCCUGCACUCAGCACUCCAUUGGCGAUGUGAACCCCUUAAUUUUUUUUUAAUGUUUUUUUUCCUUUAUAUUUUAAGUUCCCUUAACUACAUAGUAGACUAAAGAAAUUUAAGAUUCUAAGUUCAUCAUAGUAGACCCAGCUACUCAUGUGCAUAGCGAUAUGAUGAACACAAAUAAAACAUAAUUUGUUGUAGUUAAAAAAUCCAGAGGAUCGAACACGCCAUGCACUGAAGGAAAAUCAGAGGACUCAAGGAAUAUAAAAUUAGAAGAAAAUGCAUACAACACAAUAUAUUAGUAGUAAGGAUGAUGGAAAAAAAAAAUAGUCAAGGAUGUCAGCAUGCAUUCAGUAACAAAGAAUUUGGAAAACGUGAAAGACGCCCCUUGUUGAGUUGAUUUAAUUUAAAGUAGAAAAAAAAGGCAUGCUGUUCACAAGAAUUAAGAUGCACAGAUCACAGAUAGUGAAAUUAAAUCCAAAAAGAUAAAAAACAUUUUACCAUAUUAUAAUAUAUCUAUAGAGAAGCUAGUGAUUAGUUAUCAGUAUAUAGUCAAGUGAGGCAACCGCCAACCGGACUAGUACACUAUAUUAUUAAAAAAAUUCAAUCGUGAAAGAUGGCUGAGACAAAGGCUCUCGCCAUUCAUUCAUUAUAAAUACUCAUUUCCUUCUCUUACAAUUCCAUCACUACUUGUUCAAUUUCCCUAACAUUUAAGAAACAAAAGAAAUUGUUCGAUGGCCCCAGCUGCUGCUGCAGUAAUGAGUAACUAUGAAGAGGAGGAAAUUGUUCGCCCCAUUGCUGACUUCUCUCCAAGUCUUUGGGGUGAUUAUUUCCAUUCUUUCUCAGUCGAUAAUCAGGUAGUAUUAAAUGAAGUUCACCUGUGAUGCCGCUGUUGGAACAGAGUCGUUCAACGUUUUCUUUUUAAAUACAUUUACAGGUUGCAGAAGAGUAUGCUCAUGAGAUCGAAACUUUGAAGGAACAAACAAGGAGUAUAUUGUCAGACGAUGCUUAUGGAACAACAUUGACUGAGAAAUUGAAUCUGAUAGACACUGUUGAGCGCCUUGGUAUUGCUUAUCAUUUCGAGAAACAAAUAGACGGCAUGUUGGAUCAAAUUUAUAAAGCAGAUCCCGACUUCGAGGCUCAUGAUUACAAUGAUUUGUGCACUUUGUCUCUUCAAUUUCGACUACUGAGACAACAUGGUUACAACAUCUCUCCAAGUAAUAUAAUACAUCUUAUCUAUAUGAAUUGGAGAAUUAAGCGCUACUACUUACGCCACUGACAUUUAAUUAGUAAUUAAUUUCUUGUUUUCAACUUGAACCAGAACUUUUUAGCAGAUUCCAAGAUGCAAAGGGAAAAUUUAAUGAACCCCUUAGCAACGACAUCAGGGGUCUUUUGAACUUAUACGAAGCUUCACAUGUAAGUACUCAUGGAGAAGAUAUUUUACAAGAGGCACUUGUUUUCUCUACUGCUCAUCUUGAGUCUGCAGCUCCACAUUUGGAGUCACCUCUGAAUAAGCAAGUAGCACAUGCCCUUGAGCAAUCUCUUCAUAAGAGCAUUCCAAGAGUCGAGACACGCUACUUCAUCUCCAUCUACGAAGAAGAGGAAUUUAAGAAUGAUGUGUUGCUUCGAUUUGCAAAACUGGAUUUCAACUUACUUCAGAUGUUGCACAAACAAGAACUCAGUGAAGUAUCAAGGUAAUUAACAUCAAAUAUAUAAAUUGUUUGUUGAAAGUAAUUUCUCAAAUUAAUUCUAACAUUGGUACUUAUUUUGUAGGUGGUGGAAAGAUUUGGAUUUUGUGACAACACUUCCAUAUGCUAGGGAUAGAGCAGUCGAGUGCUACUUUUGGACAGUGGGAGUGUAUGCUGAACCUCAGUAUUCUCAGGCUCGUGUCAUGCUUGCUAAGACUAUAGCAAUGAUUUCGAUAGUAGAUGACACAUUUGAUGCUUAUGGCAUCGUAAAAGAACUCGAGGUCUACACCGAUGCCAUACAGAGGUAUGGACUACUUCUGGAACAGUUAAUAAUUGAAGUAUAUGGUCCCAUAAAUGGCAGAAAUGACCAUAUUUUGGUACAACAUAUUUGAAGUUUUGCCUACAAUUUGUAAUCGGAGACAAGCCUGAACGCCCAAAACUAGACAUUUCUCCUUCUUCAUCCGAUAUAUGUUGUGUUAAACUGAUAAACUUAUCAAAUUCAUUUCUUUUUCAUUUAUUAGGUGGGAUAUUAGCCAAAUUGAUCGGCUCCCUGAUUACAUGAAAAUCAGUUACAAAGCACUUUUGGAUCUCUACAAUGAUUAUGAAACGGAGUUGUCAAAGGAUGGCAGGUCCGAUGUUGUACACUACGCAAAAGAAAGAGUAUGAAUCAUAACUUGUACCAGUUAAUUCAAUAUUAAUCAGUUUAACCAAUUGUGAAGCUUUUUCUCCCAAUUUUUGUUUGUAAUGAAAUUUAUUCUUUGAAGAAGUACGGACGUUUGAAUUUCUUUUGGUUGUUAUCGACAGAUGAAAGAAAUCGUGAGAAACUAUUUUGUGGAAGCAAAAUGGUUCAUUGAAGGAUACAUGCCACCUGUUUCUGAGUAUCUUAGCAAUGCAUUAGCUAUUAGCACUUAUUACUUGCUUACGACAACGUCCUACUUAGGCAUGAAGUGUGCUAACAAGGAAGAUUUUGAAUGGUUGGCCAAGAACCCUAAAAUCCUUGAAGCCAAUGUGACCUUAUGUCGAGUCAUUGAUGACAUAGCCACCUAUGAGGUUGCUUCAAGUUUUGGCAUGAGAUAUAUGAUGGUUUGAAUAAUAGUUGAAGCUGGGUAAGUAAAAGAUCGCGUGUAAUCGAUAUUGGUCGUGAUUCAAUAGUUCUAUCGCAAUGAAAAGGUACUAUGACAUUUAGAACUUGGAUUCCUUCGUGAUUGUGUUUAUUGAUGACAUCUUGGUAUAUUCCAAGACUGAGGCGGAUCAUGUUUGUCAUUUGAGGGCCGUGCUACAGAAGUUGAGAGAUGAGAAGUUGUAUGCCAAAUUGUCUAAGUGUGAGUUUUGGCUUGAGUCAGUGGCUUUCCUAGGGCACGUGGUGUCUAAGGAUGGAGUUAGGGUUGAUCCAGCCAAGAUUGAGGCGGUUCAGGGUUGGACUAGACCUACAUCACCUACCGAGAUUCGGAGUUUUGUUGGCUUGGCGGGUUACUAUCGGCGUUUUGUUCAGGGAUUCUCUACUAUAGCUGCGCCGUUGACCAGAUUGACUCAGCAGACGGUUCCUUUUCAUUGGUCACCCGAGUGUGAGACGAGCUUCCAAAGGCUCAAAUCCCUAUUGACUUCAGCACCUGUCUUGACUUUGCCAGAGGAGGGUGUUGGAUUUACUGUUUAUUGUGACGCUUCGGGUGUUGGACUUGGAGGUGUUUUGAUGCAGAAGGGUAAGGUUGUAGCCUAUGCCUCUAGACAGCUGAAGGCACACGAGAAGAAUUACCCCACUCAUGAUUUGAAGUUGGCAGCUGUGGUAUUUGUGCUUAAGCUGUGGAGACAUUACCUAUAUGGUGUUCAUUGCGAGGUGUUUACUGAUCAUAGGAGCCUACAGUACAUAUUCACUCAGCGGGAUCUGAACUUGAGACAGCGUAGGUGGCUUGAGUUGCUCAAGGACUACGACAUGACCAUUUUGUAUCACCCCGGGAAGGCCAAUGUGGUGGCCGAUGCCUUGAGUAGGAAGACUCCUAGUAUGGGGAGUCUUGCCGCGAUUAGUGUUGAGAGGCGGCCUUUGGUUCGGGAUGUUCAGAGGUUAUUUGACAGCAUGGUGAGAUUUCGGGUUUCUGAGGAGAGUGGAGGUGUGUUUGCCUUCAUUGAGGCCCGUUCAUCUUUGAUGGAGCAUAUUAGAGAGCAUCAGUAUGAGGAUGCGAAGUUAUGUCUCAUCCGGGACAAGGUGAUGAGUGGUGAAGCCAAGAAGGCUAAGAUUGACUCCGAGGGUGUAUUGAGGAUUGAGGGCCGAAUAUGUGUGCCCAAGGUUGGUGAUUUGAUCAGAUUGAUUCUUGAGGAGGCCCAUUAUUCUAGGUAUUCUAUUCAUCCCAGAGCGGCGAAGAUGUAUCAUGAUCUUAGUCAGCACUAUUGGUGGUGUGGGAUGAAGAGGGAUAUUGCAGAGUUUGUGGCUAGGUGCUUAACAUCUCAGCAGGUUAAGUGUGAGCACCAGAAGCCUGGUGGUGUGACUCAGAGGAUGCCCAUUCCUACUUGGAAGUGGGAGAGGAUUGCUAUGGACUUCGUAGUUGGAUUGCCUACCACCGUGGGUGGUUAUGAUUCUAUAUGGGUGGUUGUCGACAGACUGACCAAGUCUGCUCAUUUCAUCCCGGUUCGAGUGAGGUAUACAGCGGAGAAGUUGGCUCAGAUUUAUAUUAGUCAGAUUGUGCGGUUACACGGGGUGCCGGUGUCUAUUGUGUCUGACAGGGGUUCAGUAUUCACUUCUCAUUUUUGGAGAGCAUUACAACAUGAUUUGGGCACUAGACUCGACAUGAGCACAGCUUUUCACCCUCAGACUGACGGUCAGUCUGAGAGGACUAUUCAGGUGUUGGAGGACAUGCUUCGGGCUUGCGUGAUCGACUUUGGUACUAUAUGGGAUCAACACUUGCCAUUGGCAGAGUUCGCCUACAACAACAAUGAUCAUUCUAGCAUUGGGAUGGCACACUGUAUGGUAGGCGGUGUAGGUCACCUAUUGGAUGGUUUGAUUCAGCGGAGGUGGACUCCCUUGAUACUGAUAUUCUUACAGAGGAUAUUGAGCGUGUUCGUGUGAUCCAGAGUAGGCUCUUGACUGCCCAGAGUAGGCAGAAGAGCUAUGCUGACAGGAGGGUUCGACCCUUAGAGUUCAUGGUGGGUGAUCGAGUUUGGCUUCGGGUAUCGCCCAUGAAGGGUGUGAUGAGAUUUGGGAAGAAGGGCAAGCUCAGCCCUAGGUUCAUUGGCCCAUAUGAGAUUUUGGAGAGGAUGGGAGAGGUGGCUUACAAGUUAGCCUUGCCACCUAGUUUGACAGCCGUGCAUCCAGUUUUCCAUGUUUCUAUGCUCCGGAAGUAUGUUCCGGAUGAGUCUCACGUGAUUUCGGUUGAGUCGGUGGAGUUGAGUCCAGAUUUGACAUUUGAGGAGGAGCCUAUACCUAUUUUGGACAGACAGGUUCGCAAGCUUCGGACCAAGGACAUCGUUUCAGUGAAGGUUCAGUGGAGGCAUCGAUCAGAUAGGGAGGCGACUUGGGAAUCCGAGGAUGAUAUGCGGGUCCGAUAUCCCCAGCUUUUCGAGGCUUCAGGUACUUUCUUUUACUUUAUGUUCGAGGACGAACAUGGUUUUUAGUGGUGAAUGAUGUAAUGACCCGAAAGGUCAUUUUGGUGAUUUUCGUGGAAAUGACUAUUUUGCCCUUUCGGUAGUUGCCCCGAGUCCCAUGUUUUGUGGUUGUAAAGUUGGUUUGAGGAAAAGUUGGUAAAAAGUUGAGUUUUUGAGAAGUUAAGUUUUUAUGAGUUAAAGUUGGUUAAAAAGUGCUUUUUCGAGUCAUUUGGAGUUUCGUGACUCGGAUCGGAUUUCCGUCGAUUCCGGCAGUUUUAGAAUGUCGAAACAGGUCUGUGUGAAGUUACGGAGUUGAAUUUGGAGUUGAAACGAAGAAAUAAGGUCCUAAGUUGCUAAAGUUGUGAAAUUUCGAUAAAGAGUUGACUUUGGUCAACAUAUGAGGUUCCGAGGCUCAGAUUGAAAUUCCGAGAGUACCGUUGGUUUCGGGAGGCGAUUCUAAGUCUAGAAUGAGUCUUGGUUGAAUUUUUAGACGCUCCGUUUGAGUUUCGAAUUUUUUGGCGUUAAACUAGUUUCUUGGCAUCUUAUUGAAUUUCGGGUCAAGGAGUCCUCGAAUUCAAAUUCCGACGGUUCCAUUGAGUUCGGAACGUCGAAUUUAGUGGGGGUACAUAUUCAGUUUGUGUGCACGAGAUUCCGAACGAAUCCCGAGGGUCAAACGGGGACUUAAACUUUGGUGUUAUAUGUUGUUUCAGCUGCUGUGGUUUUUUAAAGCUGCAACAUCAGUUGUUUCUUUCUUUUUUAAAGCCAAAACCAGUAGCCAUUUUCCCCUAACUUGAAAAAUACCCAUUUCUCCAUUUUUAGACUUUGAGAGCUCGAAAAUAGGUGAUUUCAAGUGGGUUUUCGCAAGGAAUUCAUUGGAUUGUGGUGAUUUGGAGCGUGCUCGGAAGGGUAAAACUCAAAUUUGAGUUACUAGUUGAAGUGUUUUGAGGCAAGUGACUUCUAAACUUUGUUAAACUCUUAGACUACACAUGACUACUUUCCUAAUUGUGUUGGGGAGUAAUGGGGAUUGAGGAUGAGUUUUAUUUGUUGAUUGAAAUUGUUGUAAUUGAAAGAUGGGGAAUAAAACGAGCUAAAUGUGUUAUAUGUGACUUGAAUUUGUUGAAUAAGUCAUGUGAUAACUGAUAUUGAGGGGAUAGGAGAGCAUGAGUAGGCUAUGAUUGAUACAGACAUUGAUGUUGAGACAGAUGAUGUGUAAUACUAUGAUGUGAUCGUGAUAUGAUUGUGAUUGAUGACAUGUGCAUAUUCAUUAUUCAUCCCAUGUGUGAACUAUCUGUUGCAUGAGUUCUGAGACACUGAUAUGAGGAUGGAUGGAUAUGAGACACAAUUGAGACUAGCUCCGGCUAGAGAUAUAUGAGAUGGACUAGCUCCGGCUAGCGAUUUGGAUGCCGAUGGGAUCUGGUUCCGGCGGUGAUACAUGGUCCAUGUGUGGCCCCCAUGGGUUAUGAUUUGAGUAUUCAGCGCGGUCUGAUUACGUCAACAGAUGUGUAUCUUAGGACAGACAUGCAUCACGACUACAUGACAUCAUUAUUGCAUUUUGCAUCGCAUUUGCCUUAUCUUUGUCUGUGAUGUGUGGAUUGUAUCGGUUUACCCUUCUUAUGUGAAAUUUGAUCUACUUGCUCUUAUUUGUUGAUCUGAGGUUGAUGAGGAUAUACUGUUGGUUCUGGCUGUUGAAUAUGAUCUGUUUAGUAUAGGUUGGUUGGUUUGCUGCUAGAUUGAAGUUUCGGUGGUUCGGUUGGGAUUGAAAGGAGUUGUUUGUAGCUGCUAGUUUUGCUUAGUUUAGAGUUACUUGCGAGUACUUGUGGUUUUCGGUACUCACCCUUGCUUCUACACAAUUGUGUAGGUUGACAGCUCUCUCAGAUUCGGCUUAGUAUUUUCUUUAGCAGAUUGAGCUUUGGGACAUACUCGAGAGGUAGCGGUUCAUUCCAGACGUGCCCUUGAGUUAUCUUUACUUUCAGUUUUGUUCUAUUCGAGAACUAUACUCUGAGACUUGUAUAUUUUUAUUCGAAUUCUGUAUUUAGAGGUUUGUACAUGUGACAACCAAUUCUGGGUAGUGUUGAGUCUUAAUUAAAGUCUUCCGCUUAUUUAUUAUCUUUUAUUCUCGUAUUUCUACUUCUCUAUCGUUGUGGUUGGGUUAGGCUGACGUGUCCGGUGGGAAAUGGACACGUGCCAUCACAUCCGGAUUUGGGGUGUGACAAAAUGACCUUAUGUCGAGUCAUUGAUGACAUAGCCACCUAUGAGGUUGAGAAGGGUAGAGGUCAGAUUGCCACUGGAAUUGAGUGUUACAUGAGGGAUUAUGGCGUGUCAACAGAAGUAGCAAUGGACAAAUUUCAAGAAAUGGCUGAGACAGCAUGGAAGGAUGUAAAUGAAGGAAUCCUU